rnacentral:lncRNA from 1 species
AUGGUAGAAUAGUUGUUGUUUCUUUCUACCUAUCUAUCUAUCUAUCUAUCUGCUUAUGCCUGUUUAGACCUAGUGGGAAGAUUGGCGGAGUCGGCUGCCGAACCCACUGGGAACUAUAUUUAUAUAGUUCUCACCCCACUUUGUUGCAGGGCCGAGUACCAGUUCGUCGGGCGAGGACCGCAGCAAGGGCGUAGCGCCCUAGUAGAUAGCGGCUACCUACUGCACUAGAGUACCCCGGGUACUAGAGGAUUUUGGUUAUAUAUCGGAUAGUUGUUUAUGUAUAUAGAAAAGAACAUGUAAAUAUUUUGAGAAAAUGUAAAUGUAAUAAUUAUGAAUGUGAAUGGAUGUAAUAGUUAGAUGUAUCUCUCUUUUGUUUACUUGUAUUGUAAGGAAGUGAAUUCUCGCAACUCGAGGAUUGGACUUCGACCAGAAUCGACUAGUUGUCGAGUGCGUAGGCUUCGGAAGGUCCGAAGGUAUUUAUAAUGCAUAAAGUGCAUUAAGGAAGGGCCCGCGAGAGCACCAAGUGCAAAACUUGCACUGGAGCAGAAAUGCUCUCGGGGACCGGUCCCUGGCAGGGAGGGACCGGUUCCAUCAGGCCGGGUUGCGGAGGUCUCUGAUGAGACCGGUCCCUGGUGGGCAAGGACUGGUUCCCGAACGUUGGCCUGGCGAGACUUAGCCAAAUUUGGCUAAGUCCCGAGAAUGCAGCUCUCGGGAACCGGUCUCUCGGACAAGGACCGGUCUCCCGGGGACCGGUCUCUCAGGCAAGGACCGGUUCCCGAACGCGAAAUCCCCUCUGCUCGAAAUGGCAGCUUUCGGGGACCGGUCUCCCCGAGCUGGGACCGGUCCCUCGCUGCGAAAAUGCCCAGAGAGGGCUGGUUCAGAUUAUGAAAAGUUGAGGGGGCUAGCUGCAAAAUAGCCUUUAAUAGGGCUUGGGGACCCCUCUCUCACUCUCAGCUGCUUUCUCUCUCUCUCUUACCCCCUUUUCUCUCUCUCUCUAGGAAAGAAAAGAAAAGAAAGAGAAGAAGGAGAAGAAGAAGAGGAAGGAGAAGAAGAAGAGAAAGAAGGAGAAAGAGAAAGAGAAGACUAAGAAGAAAAAGAAGAAGAUAUCUUCUUCUCUCCCUCUCCCUCAAGCUUGAGGAAACCUUGUGUAGGGGUAAGCUCUAAACCCCUUUAAUGGUAUUUUUAGGGUUUGGGUUUUUAGGAUUUAGAAUUGGUUCAAAUGGAACCUAUUAGGGAUAAAUGGAAGGUUCGAGCUCGCAAUCGAAACUCGCACCGUGGAUUUCCCUCUCGUCGCCGUUCUAGGGCACGGAAUUGGGUUUUUGGUAAAUCUAGGGUUUUGAUCUAAUUUGUUGGGUCGCUAACCUAAUUGCUAGGUCCCGGAACGCGUCGGCGAAGUCGGUUUCUCGAUCCGACGAUCGGGUGCGGAGAUAUCGCCGAAUCGGGUACUCGAGGGCUCGCUUCGCCCCGAGGAGUUGAAGCGGCGUGCAACGACCGCAGCGUCGAGUUUUCUAUCAUCGUGGCAUCGCCAAGAGGUGGGUGGUGUCCAUCCCGAAGCAAUCGGGCUCCCUUCUAUGUCUUAGUACACGUCGAUUCUUGCAUCUUGUAUUAUUGCAUUAUAGGAUAAGUAUGCAUUGCCUUUCCUUAUGUUUUUCCUUGAUGAUAUCGUAGCGUACAUUGGAUAUUUGAUAUAUUGGAUUGAUAAGGAUUGGGUCGAGAUUGUGAAUCCUAUAAUGUAGAGAAAACGAUGAACUAUGAACGAGUGGCAUCUAGUUAAUGGUAAACUAUGAACGAGUGGCAUCUAGUCAAUGGUAAACAAACGGACGAUUGGCAAUCUAGUUAAUAGUGUAGGUGAAACCUAUGGACUAUGUGAUGAUUGUGACCCUAGAGGACAGGGUAUCCUCGAGCUUAGAGGAUUGGAUCAUGCUCACGGUCUGUUUAAAUCUUGUGUUGGAAGCCCCACGCAAGUAGUGCGCUCCGGAUGUUGGUCACGACAGGGAUUGCCUAUUUGGCCCCGCCAGACGGUCUCGGGUCCGUAGUGUGAGUUAAUUCUCCCUACGUGUCGAGAUGGCUAGUGAGCUGUAGGCGAGCCUUCGGGUAAGCCAUGAGAUUAAUGGACAAGUAAAGGAGGUUAAUGAACGAGUAAAUAGCUUUGCCUUUGGACAUGAUAAUGGGUUAGUUGUUUAUCUAUUUCCUUGUACAUGCAUUCAUAUAUUAUGAUUGGGCAUAGUAGCAUAGCUUCAUUUCCGUCAUUUACAGCUUUCCUUAUCUAUCUAUCCAUCUAUUGGUAUAUCUACUUGUGCCCGCUUGGACCUAGUGGGGAGAUCGGCGGAGUCGGCGGCCGAACCCACUGGGAACUAAGGAAGUUAGUUCUCACCCCCAUUUUACCACAGGUUCCAGUUCGGGUGUCCCCGGUGAGCGUGAGGAUCGCGGUAAGGGCCCGGCGCUCUAGUCGCAUUAGCUAUCUCCCUUUUGCAUUAGCCGUCACCCUUUUGUACUUGAGAGUAGAUGUUGUAUAGGGUGAGGUGGAGCGAUUGUAUUUAUAUUUUGGAAGAAUGUAAAAGAUGUAUUUAAAUGUAGUAAAUCAAAUGAAUGUAAUAGAUAGCUUUUCUCUCUUAUGUACUUGUAUAUGUUUCUAUACUGGUAUCUUGCUCUUGUGUGUAGCACUGGUGGUGCUUGUAGAUCGUGUAUUUAUGAAUUGAUUCCUGGGUAAAUUCCUAUACAUGAUCUGUUGGUUAGCCUUGGACGGACAGGGGAGGUCCUGUCCGCCCGGCGUCUGUUCGACGCGCCCGGGCCGAGCCAAAUUGGUAGCGGUCACGGGGCGUGACAUGUAUGCUUACCUUCGCUCUCGUAACUGCUUGUAUGUGUACUUGCUAGUUCGUCCUUGUGGAUUCUUUGUGUAUGUUGUAUGUCUACCUGGGCGACUGAAAUGUACACGACUGCUGUUGCGAGCCUUGGGCGGACAGGAGAAACUCUGUCCGUUCGGCGUCUGUUCGACGUGCUCGAAUCGGACCAAAUUGGUAGCGGUCUCAGGGCGUGACAAGUAAUGCCUCCAUAACUUGAGCGCGAAUAUCACCGCGGCUAACUUGAGGUUGUGUAUCGAGUAGUUCUUCUCACAAUUCUUCAACUGGCGCGAAGUAUAAGCUAUGACCCGCCCAUUUUGCAUCAAGACGCACCCGAGACCAACAUACGAGGCAUCACUGUACACUACGAAGGUCUCCCCCGGAGUCGGCAAGGCAAGCACCGGGGUCGACGUCAACCUCUCCUUUAGUUCCUCGAAGCUUCAAUCGCAAUCGUCACUCCAGACAUACUUUACUCCUUUGUGGGUAAGGCGCGUUAGUGAAGUAGUUAUCUUAGCGAACCCCUCCACGAACCGCCGGUAGUAGCCUGCAAGUCGAAGAAAACUGCGGACCUCCGCAACACUUGUCGGGCGAGGCCAACCCUUAAUAGCCUCAACUUUCUUUGGAUCUACUGAAACUCCAUCGCCCGAUAUCACAUGGCCCAAGAAUGUGACCUCCAUAAGCCAAAAGUCACAUUUCUUCAAUUUAGCAUAAAGCUUCUCUUGUCGGAGGAUUUGCAACACGGUUCUCAAAUGCUCCUCGUGCUCCUCCUCACUCUUGGAGUAUACCAACACGUCGUCUAUAAAUACCACGAUGCACCGGUCCAACAAAGGCCUGAAGACUCGAUUCAUCAAGUCCAUAAAUGCUGCCGGGGCGUUAGUAAGCCCAAACGGCAUUACUGUGAACUCAUAAUGGCCAUACCGCGUACGGUACGCCGUCUUGUUCACAUCCUUCGACCUAAUCUUUAAUUGAUGAUACCCCGACUGGAGAUCAAUCUUUGAAUACACCUUUGACCCUUGCAAUUGAUCGAAUAAAUCAUCAAUCCUCGGCAACGUGUACUUGUUCUUAACUGUCACCUUGUUCAACACGCGAUAAUCCACGCAGAGUAAAAGUGUGCCGUCCUUUUUCUUCACAAAUAGCACCGAAGCUCCCCACGGUGACACGCUCGGCCUCACGAAGCCUUUAUCGAGUAAGUCUUGUAAUUGUGCUUUUAACUCUACUAGCUCCACCGGUGCCAUUCUAUACGGAGCCUUCGAGAUUGGCGCCGCCCCGGGAAUCAAGCCAAUGACGAACUCAACCUCCCGAUCCGGUGGCAAUCCCAGUAACUCCGCCGGAAACACAUCCGGAAAUUCGCAUGCUACCCGAAUACCACUAAGUUUCGGGUGCUCCUUUUGGGCCUCCACCAUUAUCGCCAAGUAGGCUACACAUCCACCCUUUAUUAUUUUCCUCGCCCUCGCCGCCGAUACAGUUGCCGCGAAGCGCGAGCUUUUACACGCCUGGUACACUAACUCUUCUUGGUUAGGCUCACGAAACAUAAUCACCUUGCUUUCGCAAUCUAUAACCGCAUAAUACUUGGAGAGCCAGUUGAUCCCCAAGAUUACAUCGAAGCCCCACAUUCGAUCCAGCACUAGCAAAUCAAUUGGCAUAAUCAAUUCUCCUGCUCAUACUCCCCCACCGAUCGAUCACCUUGUCUCAACUUGUGGAACUUUUCUUGCAUCUUCCGCUUUAUCGUGUCGGGGAAGUAGUUCGCGAACAUCGCUCUCUUGAACUCCGCCCAUUACAUAGGCGGAAGAUCGGCAGACCGAUCCCGCUUUACUCGCUUCCACCACACCUUUGCCGCCUUUUCUAAACAAUGUGUGGUGAGUUGCACCUUAUCCUUCUCCAAGGUGUAUAUAUCCUCGAAGAGUGACUCCAUCGAGUCAAUCCAUGCUUCCACCAUUGACAGCUCCACUUUGUCUCCGUCGAAUAUUGGUAGAUUGAACUUCUUGAACAUAACGAGAGCCGCCAACGCACUCUCCCGUUCCGCCUCUACUGCCGCACCAUCGGGAUUUGAGGUUUCCGAUCCGGCCGGCACCAUUGUGACGGGCACAGCUGCCACUGCCGCCGCUCCCUCGACUACACUCGGCACCACCGCAGGGGGCGCAGGGUGCUCGGCGCCCACUUGCGCCACCGAUGCCUGUUGCCGCUCUAAGGCCUCCUAGAGCCUUUGAAUUUGCUUCCCUUGGGGCUGAACGGACUCCGCUUGCUGUCGCACCAUGCCAAUAAGCGCGGCCAUCUGCUNGGGCACAGCUGCCACUGCCGCCGCUCCCUCGACUACACUCGGCACCACCGCAGGGGGCGCAGGGUGCUCGGCGCCCACUUGCGCCACCGAUGCCUGUUGCCGCUCUAAGGCCUCCUAGAGCCUUUGAAUUUGCUUCCCUUGGGGCUGAACGGACUCCGCUUGCUGUCGCACCAUGCCAAUAAGCGCGGCCAUCUGCUCCCGAACCUCACCGUCGCCACUUGCUCCGGAUUGCUCGGGCGCCGCAUUCGGCUCCUCUGGCAUCGACCUUGUUCGAGGUCCACCACGAGCCAUUGCUUCCUGAAAUGAAGCAACUCGCAUUAGCUACAUGACCAACAUUACUCAAUCAUACCCAAUUCGGCGAAAGCAAACUUAUGUAUCCAUCCUCACUCCAAAGAAUUAUGUCGUCGGCCGCCCGACACAACACAAGGAGUAGAGAACAAACAUCAAUUUAGACUUAGUCCCUAAUCACAUUAGAGACAUCCCAACAUGACCCAAUCACACGCUUUUGCUAUACUUGAUCCAACGUCGCUCACGUUCCCUAGAUCCUUAAGGUUUUCCAAUCCUAAGGGUCUCUAGGUCCAUUCCUAUUCUUUCACUUUAGGCUCUGAUACCACUAUAUCUGUCACGCCCCGGGACCGAUCCUUUUGGCCGGUCCGGACACGUCGAACAGACGCCACGCCGAACGGACAGCACCUCCCCUGUCCGCCCAAGGCUCAACACAUGUACAAUUCAAACAAAAAGAAUGCAUAAGCAGAAACAUACAUAAUGGCUUACACGAGGGUAAGCAAUAGCCAAAGUGAAAGAAUACUAAACUAUACAACAUCACAAGUAGAAUGAUUAACUUUUAACCAUUUACAAGCAUUCAACUUUUACAUUCAUAAUUCCUUUCCAUAUAUAUGCUUUUCAUCAUUUCUUUUCUUUACAUCACAAUGACUUCCAAAAUGGAAUCUUACAUUUAACCAUCUUUAAUACAUCUAUACUCAUCAAAGACAAAAGAUGAUAUAGGAAUGCAACUAUGCAAAAUGAACCAUCUCGGGUGGUCACUGUCUACGGCGCGAUAUCUUUACCGCGGUCGUCCGCCGGCGUACUCGGUCCCGGCUCUGUGGAAAUAGUGGGGUGAGAACUACAACGAAGUUCCUAGUGGGUUCGGCCCCAAUCUCACCGACUUUUCCACUAGGUCUAACUCAGGCAUAAUAGAAGAAAAGGCAGAUAGAUAAGUAACCAACUAUACUAUGCAGCUAAUAUGCCUGAAUAAAUGCGAUCAAUAAAGAUACUCAACAACAAUAUUCAUGAUGAAUGCAUAAUUCAUGUUCAAUUCUCAGUCUCAAUCUCAUGGCUAGCCCGUAGGUGUCGCCCAAAGCAACUCACCAACUCAUAAUCCCAAUUGUCAGGGAGAAACUCCUGCGACCCGACAGGGACCGUCCUUUGGGGAGAAACUCCUACAACCCAGUGAUGACUACUCCGGAGCUCAUCGCUCGAGGGGAAGCUACCGCCCUCCGAACCAAGACGUAAGGCGAGUAUGAUCCAAUCCUUAACUCUAAGGAUGUCAAGUUCAAUCUAUUCCUUAACAGGAAACAAUGCAUUCAUGACCCUUAACUCUAAGGUUGUUAUGUCAUAAUGCCAAUAUCUCAUAUUCUUUGCAUUCUUUGUUUUCGAUCAUGCCAUUACACUAACUCUAGUGUUCUUUAUGCCAUACUUGAUGCUAACUCUAGCAAUUCGUUGUUCUUUAUGACACUUGAUGCUAACUUUAGCAAUUCAUUGUUCUUUAUGCCACUUGAUGCUAACUCUAGCAAUUCAUUGUUCUUUAUGCCACUUGAUGCUAACUCUAGCAAUUCAUUGUUCUUUAUGCCACUUUACUAGGUGUAUAACACUAGUACUCAACAUCACAAUGCCACAUUGUCCUUCAUGUCAUAAUGCCACUUGUUCUUUAACUUUGCUAAGUUCUUGUCACCAUACAUGCAUAUACACUUACAAACGUAAAACAUUCAAGUUCACGUCGUACUCUACCAACUCUUGGUUACUCUUACACUAUUGGGAUAUACNCUUGUCACCAUACAUGCACAUAUAGGGUUUAUAUAAUUCUUAUUGGUUCUCAACCAUAUCAAAUGUAUCUUAACUAUAAGCAUGCAACAUACACUCUCAAUUCACCCUAUUAUGCACGAAGAAUUUAUAUACAUACAUGCUCAAUAAGUGACACAUUAGACAUAAGAGGAAUUUCAAAGAGUUUCGAAAGCACCACCCAACUCGUAGGCUUGCUAACGUGCUACGGUUUAAAUCUCGUGAUUUUUAGCCUCCUAUUUUGCCGCCUGCGGCAAUCUGUACGAAAACAACCGUUUCGUCAAUAUCUUUACAUACACUCGUCGGAUUACCGAACCAAGCGCACCAACGCGUUCGUUAUACCCCCAAUUAGGUUUGUAUAAGAUCAAUUUAGAUCACAACCUCACUUGAGCAAAAUCCUUCUUUUGGGUGCCCUAGCUUUCACAUACAUCAAAACCCUUGUUUUGAUCUCUACCACAAGCAAAAGCAAGCUUGUUACCCUCUAGAGGUUCCAUUAAAACCAUUCCUAAGUCAAUCAAAUCUCAUUCUAGGGUUCUACCAUUAAUGGGUUCAAAGCUUACCUCAAAGCUUUCCUUGUUCUUGUGCUAGAGAAGAAGAAGAAGCUACUCCACCUCUUUGCCUCCUUCUCCACUUUCUUCUCCUCCAAAUCCUCUCCUUGCUCCACCUCCAAGAGAGAGAGAGAGGAAGUCCUAGAGAGAGAGAGAGCUCUCAAAUAUGUAUGUGUGAGGGAGAGAAAUGAGAGAAAGUUCUCAUUUACCCCCAAUACAUAGCCCACACAAUGCAUAAUUGCAUUUAAGCCCCUUAGCUUUGAUCCUUUCACACUGCCCAGACUGGUCAGUUUUCGCAUACGGGGACUGGUCUCUCCCACCAGGGACCGGUCCCCGAGAGCUGACUUCCAGGGACUUAGCCAAUUUUCCAACUCUGGGAAUUUUUCGUGCAAGGGGACCGGUCUCUCCCACCAGGGACCGGUCCCCGAGAGCUAGUUUUCCAAUACUUAGCCGUUUUCAUAAUUUUCACACCUAUGGGGACCGGUCUGUCCCACCAGGGACCGGUCUGUCCCACCAGGGACCGGUCCCCGAGAGCUUGGCUGCGCGCAGGAUUUUCUGCCCAGCCACACAAGCGUACGGGGACCGGUCCCCGAGAGCCCAAAAACUGCAGUUUGCAGAUUUUUUGAUUCUCUAGCUCUCGAAGAUCCCCUACAAUGCACUUUUGCUCUUUUUGACGCCUUCGGCCUUUCCGAAGUGUUCCAAUGUCGCACUUUGGUCAUUUUGACUAAAGUUCGAUAUUCGUUUACUGAGGUUUCGGUAUAUUACAGGAGGUCUCCACUUCGACCGCAUUAGCUGCCUCGGCCGCUCCGGCUGUCCUAGAAUUAGUCGUAGGAAUUUAGAACUGCAACAAACAUAAUAAGCGUAAGUUAAUAAAACUCACACUAUCGAAACCCCACUCCGUAAAAUAACCACCCAAUAAUCAGGCGAAAGUAAUAAAAUGUGCCACGCACUAACUUCCGAUGUCACGUUGUCGUCCGCCAACGUGGCCCUCCGCAAAGUUAGUAGUUGUACAUUUCAAUCAAACUCCAACCAUUCGGAGUUUAUAAAAUACCCAAUCAAAAUACUUUCGCUAUAAAACUCAAAUAGACCUUGUCUCUCGCUAGCCUAUUUCCUAUAGUCCAACCAGCCUAAAGUUUGAUAGGUCCAUUAAGACUCAACCCUAGGCUCUGAUAUCAAUCUGUCAUGCCCGGGUAUCAGCGGAAGCAUACCCGAUACAUGCACAGAUCCGCCAUAUACUUGCAGUAUACAAAGCGUCUACUAAAACCACGCUAGAAUAGUACCAAUCAAAUAAAUAUUCUAACAUGGUAUCAGAGCAUAGUAUGUACCAACUGUACUCAAAAUUAAAACAUAACCAACAUAAACACCACCAGCAAGAACAGGAAGUAAAGGUACAAAACUGUAAAGUACAAUUCUCUACAACAGACAUACAUCACAGGGUCACCAAAAACUAUAUACACACAAAUGGUAGUCUCUCUAUACACGGGUACACAUCACCCUUGUCAGCAAAUUCAAAAUAGCAAGGUGAUCACCUAGCAGGACUCCACGCUACGACUAGCUAGAUGCGACUCCCUUGCCGAGAUCCCUAGCCUCUCCCAUAGUGGAUGGCCCUGUAACAACAACAACAAAGAGGGCGUGAGAACUAUUAAAUAAUAGUUUCCAGUGGGCAAGCUGCUGAUCUCAGCGAAUUACACGAGUAGGUUCAAAAUGUAUAAAAUAUAGCAUAUAUGUCUAGAACAUGAUAUGAACAACUAAAGAAUAAUAAACUACUACGUUUUUCAUACAAUAAUUAUGUGUAACAAGUAAAAUGCUACUCUACACUAGUAAGCAUACUAUAUAAUCACAUAAAUGUACACUAUCUAGUAGUGACCAUUGUAUCAAUAUAGUUAGUAUCUUGGUUCAAUUCAUAAGGACCUAUACAAGAUAGUCCGGCUUGCGCCGCGCCUAAUGGCCCCGUGGUAGUAUACACUCCCCACAGCAAUCCACUUCGGCAUCCAAUCCCGCACGGGCGAGCAAUCUGUCGCAUAGGCCAACUCCAAAGUUCCGGUUUGUGGGGAGCGACCCUCACAAGUAUGUGCGAAUGAGUAUAAUAGCAAGCAAGCAUGAUCCAUACUCUAAAAGUCCUCAAUCGUAGUAUCUCAACCAUGAAAAGUUCUCUACCGACCUAUAGGUCGGAAUCUAAAUACAAUAUAAAAUGCUAGUAUCAAUUAGAUUAUACAAUCAUAGAAAAACUUAAUAGUACCAAAUCCUUAGUGCUAUCGAUAGUACUCCAGCCAGACUCAUAUAUGUGGCUAAAAGUUCCUACAUACACAUCUCAUGCGUUGAUAAUUCCUAUGUACAAAUCUUACACGUUGACUUGAACGGCAAACACGUUGGAUGCGAAAACAAAGAGAAAAACUACAUCAAUUGAGACAAAUAAAAACACCACUUCAAAGUUCAAACUGCCCAAAAAUAACACCUCAACACAGCCUAAAUGGUACAGAUGUUAGCUCUUUUGGUUGAUGUGCCAGCCCAGCCCACCCCAACCUAGCCCAAAAAUGUUCACAAAUCUAUACCCGACCUCCCCUGCUCGUUUCUCCCACAAAAACCGCAAAACCCCAACCCUGUUCAUUCGCCACUUCGAACUCUCUAGGCUCCCCCUCUCCGCUCUCUCCCGCCACCCCCUUUUCCCCUCAUCUCCCUCUUUUCCCCAAAGGAGUAGUAAAUCUUGGGUUUCUCCCCUCCCCAGCUUCGAAACAAGCUCCGAUGAUGGCGAUUAUGGCCCAGUCGCCGGACAUCCUCGGGGAGCGCCAUUCCAGCCAGGACGUCCGCACCCAGAACGGUACGCGAGCGCUUCGCCCAAAUCCUCUCCGGUCACUCCGAAUUCUUGGGAUCUCUCAUGGAUUAACCCUUCAUUUGCGCUUUCUCUCUUGUUUUAAUUGUUUUUGGUGUGUUGUAGUGAUGGCGUGCCAAGCCGUCGCCAACAUCGUGAAGUCGUCGCUCGAACCUAUCGGUCUCGACAAGGUAUAAGAAGGAAAAGAUUUUUCUUUUUUACUUCAAAUUAUUUCAUUUAGAUCGUGCUUUGCAAAGAUUGGUGUUUUUAGGGCCUGUGUCGCUUGGCUUCAAAAAAAAAAAAAGAAGCUCAUUUUAAAUCUGAAAAAGCAGUAGUUAAGUGUUUGGCGAAGAGAAAUGACCUUUUAAACCCCGAAAGAAGAAGAAAUUUAGUAUUCUUAUAGUUUUUCUCUUAUUCUUUUUUUAUUCUUCUUAUAUUUUUAUCUUAUGCUUUUACUGUAGCUGCUGUUGUUUCUUCUUAAGUUUUUUUAUUUGUAUUCUUUUUAACUCUUUGACUUUUUUAUUAUUAUUUUUUAGUUUUUUUUAUUAUUUUUUUCUACGGAAUCGACCCGCAGCAACGCGCGGGUAUCUUCACUAGUUUCUCAUGAAAACAAAGAUGAUUGUCUUUGAUUUUCAAUUACUCUUCACUUCCAAGGAAAUUGAAGAAAAGUACCACAAUGUCAAUCCGAUCUGCAUAUGAACGUGUUUUCGUCACAGACGGGACUUGAUAUGCCAUGCUUAUCUUGAGACAUUCGUUACUUAUUAUGGUGUAUCAAACCUGCACACCUAAUCUUUAAGGGCAAAUAAAUCUAUCAAAAAAACACUGCACUACAAACAUCAAAAUGAAGAGAAAGGCGAAUUAUUGCAUAGCUUAGGAAGGCCUGGAAGCUCAAAAGCAUGACAAGUUUUGUAGCAUUAGGUUUGUUUAAAGUGGGUUCAGCAGCAAGGUCGGGUGGAAAUAAUAAUUAGAAAAAUUGUAUCCAGAUUCCAGAGCAAUGAUCAAGGGUUUAAAAUUCAAAAAAAACAACCAGACCUAGUUGCUGAAGUGGGUCAAAACACAACUAAACAGUUGAAGGCCUCUAACCAUGGUUCUGAAUAUUAAGUACAGUACAAACAAAUCAAGUUUGACCCAAGUUGAUUUGCGUGCCAACCAAUCAUUUGUAGCCUUAAAUCUAACAAAACCAACAAAUAAGAUAAUCACAAUCCAUGAUUCAACAAAAAAAAAAAAAGAUAACUUAAAAAAAAUUCCAGCUACAACAGCAAGUUGUCAGAAAUUGCACUUUUUUGAUAUAGCCUACUAGAACCAUAGAACUCAUAGGCUUGUGUAUCCAUCAAGAAAACCAAAUACUAACACAAUUGAAAGUUGCCCUCCAAAUGACAUGAAACAGCCACAUGAACCUUACCAAAUUUGCAAAGAAAUCACUGUCAACAGCAAUCAACUUUGAUGACAUGCUUGUCUUCGCACAGUUUACAAGGGAAUCUUUGCCAAGCUUUUCAACCUGAAUAGUGACAAAUCAAAGUUCUUCGUCAACCAGGUCAGAGCUUUGAUAGGCUUAUUCUUUGUAGUAGAGAAGUAUAAUGAGAGGUAACAGCAUAAUAUUAAUAUCAACAAAAAGAGUUAUACCUUAACAGCUAGUUUCUCUUCAACAUAUUUGCAGGCUUCCCGCAUCGCAAGCUGAUCAAUGAAGAACAUAUAUGUACAUAAAAAUUAUAAAUGGAAAACCAAAACACAUUCUGGAUGUCACCUCCAAUUUUUACGUAAGUGUAUAAGCAAGGAUAUAUAAAAAGAUGAAAAAUUCGAGAAUUGCAAGUUAUAACACAAUGAAGCAUGAAGUUUACCCGAUAGCCACUGAUAAUAGAUGUUGGGUGGAUUUUAUUCCUCACAAGCUCAUUCCCUCUCUGCAUUUAACCAAUAAAUAAAUAAAAUUAAAUUAAAAGAAAAAAAAGAUAGCUACAAGGCACCUCCUCAAAAAAGUGUACAGCAUUUGAAAGAAGACUUUGAUGUAACUACAUAAUAACUCAAGAAAAAUGACAAAAUAACUACCAUCCCAAAAUGACAAACUAGGUGUACUCCAGAUAUAUCACCUUAAGUAACUCUGCAGCCAUAAUUGUUAGUUGUAUGCCCUAGAAGCCUAUCAGGCUGACACAUUUUAUUUUCUAUGGGACAUAUUUUUGUACUUAAUAUUUAUUAUUUAUAUAAUUGGGCCUUUUAUUCCAUUCAUGUUAAAUGUGUCCAUGAAUCGUCCUUUGAAUUAAUAAGAUGAUAAUAUGUAUUCUCAAGAGUUGAGAAUUUGAGAUAAUAUUAUUGGUGAUUAAUUCAUAAAUGCUCUCAAUCGGAGGAUCAUCAUGGGGACGAUGAUUGAUCCGGUAAGAUUGAUGUGUGUGUCGCUUCCCUUUUUGGGAUGACAAAUCUCAAGGCAUCAGUGUGGGGACACUGGAGCGAACAUGCAGGUGGUUGUUGGAGAACAAUGGUACUGAGCGUGACUAACUACGAACAGUUACAUGGAUGUCUACUCAUUCGUCAGUAACUGGUUCGAUGUUGCAGUGGUACAACUGAUCCUUAGACCUGCGACACCACGGCCAUUCAAUAUGAGGCUACUGUAGUUUGACUAUGCAAUAAACUCUGAUCCUAGCCAUGGGUCUUAGUAGUAUAUGUUGGCUGCAGUCGGUUUAUAUCAAGAAUGGGUGUGUGUUUAUAGGGGAUCUGUCGCUCUCGGUAGAGAGAUAAUUAGUUCUAUGCUAUUUGUACGGCAAAGCUCAGAAAUCCUCGGCCCGGGUAAUAUGGUGUAUGGAAAGAUGUUUCCAAGAGUAACCAUAAGAGCUUCUGUCUGAUCAAAUUUGUCAUAUGACGGGUGAUGGGGUUUGACGAAUAUUCCAUGACCUCCACUCAGUUGGAACUAUACGAUAGAAGGAUUGUAUUGUACGGUAACUGCACCUAGAGGUUCAGUCCGAUAUUCACUUCUGACUGGAUUGCCACUACAUGCUGCUAGGCGUCACUGUUGGAUUGUGGGAACCAAUAGAAAUAAUUAUUAAUAAUCUAAAACGAAACACGAGGUGAUCUUUGGUUUUCAAGAAAAUUUUUAAUUGUGUUAUUUUCUUCCGCUGCGUACACAUGAUUUUCUUACAACAAUAACCACAGAUGUUGUGCCAUCUCCAACCUCCCGAUCCUGAAGCUCAGCCAGCUCAACAAGAACCUAUAUUCUCAAUGUAGGUACAAUUAAUAGAGUCUGAUUACACUAUAAGAGAGUUGUAUGUCUAAAGAAGCAAAACAACUAUAUCAUUAGGUAGUAGCUAUCACCUUGGCAGCUGGAUGCUCAACUUCAAGCGUCUUGAGUAUUGUUGCACCGUCAUUGGUAAUUGUCACAUCACCAAUGUCAUCGACUAGCAUCUAGAUCAUUUAAGUUAAAGCUAUUAGUUUCUCACAUGUAAAUCUGCAUUCACAUACAUGGUCAGCUAGAAUAUGACCACUAAUUGCAUUCAAAUUAAUUUACUACAAGGAAACUAAGUGGAGAUUCUUAACAUUUUUUUUAGAAAUAAUGGUCGUAUACAACGAGAGCCUAAAGAGAAGAAUUCAUAGAUAAAAACAGACCAUUAAAACAGCAAGAGUGGGCAUAAUUUUCAUUUCCCAUAUAACCCAAAUUCAGAACUCAGAAGAGAAUUUAAUUUAAAUUCAGUAAGAGCCUCCUUUAGAAAUGAUAAUAACACUUUUGUUUCAAUGUUAACAAACAUGGAUAAGGAUUGUGCAAAACCUUGUACCAAAAAAAAAGAGCAAAAUUAGUCCCAGCAUAUUGAACAGCUAAGCUAAUGAACAUCAGAUAAACAAAAGGAGGUAUGUUUUAUUCAGGCUAAAGCAUAGGUUCCCCACAAUAAAUAGGAUAACUCUGUCACGCCCCGAGUCCCGCCUAUUUGGUCGGGUUUGGGCACACCGAUAGACCGCCGAACGGACAGAGUUUCUCCUGUACAUCCUAGGCGUCGCAAUCAAUACAAUUACAAGAUGUUCCAACCAGGAACGAUAUUCAACAUACAGAUUGGAUAAGGAAGUAUCAAAAACAUAAAACCACUAAGCUAUUACAAGCAUUCAUCUCAUUUGAAACCUUUACAUUUCCUUUCCUUUCAAAUACAUUUAAACUUCCGAAUACAAUCAAUUAUCACAAGAUUAUUACAAGUUUGAUUCUUUCUCUUUUCUUUUCUACAGCCCUUAGCUUGGCUGACUCAGGUGCCGCUAUCUCUGGUCUCGGUAGUAGGGCGCUAUUGUCACGCCCCGGGACCCAGCGGAAGCCCGUCCGGCGCGUGUCCAGGCCUGCCAUAUGUAUAAAACAUAUAAGGCGUCUAAAACAAAACGAUAAAAGAAGCAGUAAAAAAUAAAAAAUAAAAAGAAGAACAUCUAGGAGUAUCAGAGCAAGUAUAUCUAGAUGCUACAAUAGAGAAAAAGAACCAUAAAACUAAAAUUCACUAGAUGAUAGCAUAAAGUAGUACAAGAAGAAUCCCAAAUACAAAAGCUAAACAAGUACAUAGGUGGCAUCUCUACACAUGGUACUCAAAAUCUCUCUCUCUCUCUAGUACAACAAAAGAAAGAGUAACCACCUAAGCUCAAAAGUAGCCUCUCUCUAUCUAGCUAGGCGACACCCUUGCCGCGAUCCCGUGCCUCCGCCGGUGCCGAAGGCUCUGAAAAGAAACAUAGAAACAAGGGCGUGAGAACUAUUAAAAAUAGUUCCCAGUGGGCAAUUACUGACUUCAGUGAAAUGCGCCACUAGGCCCAAAAACUGAACUAAAGAGAGUAAGUACGAGUAUAAUCAAAAGGAAUAACAACAACUAAACAUAAGUACUUACUAAACCAUGAUGUCUCAACUCAGCAUGAACUUGCAUAAUUAAUAGAGUUACUAUAACAUGAAUGUACAUGAAUGUGACUAGCAUGUAUAAGCAUGAAUAUGCAACCAACGAAAUGUCCACAAUGUAGAUAGUAAAUUGUCAUUGUUUACUAUUCUAGUCAAAGUCCAAAUGGCAUGUUCUAUCACUAAGUUCCAAUCAUGCAAGACCCACCCGUAGGCUGUCUGGCCUGCGCCGUACCUAAUGGCCCCGUGGUAGUCAACAUCCCCACUCUAGGAAUGAGCCUUCCCCCCCCACGGCAUCCCAUUUCGGCGCCCAAUCCCGCACGAGCGAGCAUAUGUCGCGAUGGCUAUCUCCGGAGUGCUGGCUUGUAGGGAGCGACCCUCACAAGUAUGUGCGAAUGAGAGCACAAUGGCAAGCAAGCGAAAGAUCUGUCUCAAGUACCAAGUCCUCAUGUCUAAAAACAUGGAAUAUAUGUCACAUAUCUCAAUGGCCUAUCUCUAUGUCAUCAUGUCUCUAACAUGGAAUAUAGCAGAUGUUCAAUGGCCUAUCACUAUGUCUCUAUGUUGCAAUUUCACAGUUUACUAUGUCAAGUGCUCCUUUAUGGCAUUUUAGUCCACUAAGUCCAAACAUGAGUUUAUCAUUUGCAAAUGCAUAAUUUGAGCAAUUUCUAACGUAAGCGACACGUUUCCAAGUCACUAACACGAACACUUCUCACAUGCAUGGAAUAUAUCCAUAAUGCUCUACUAUAUAGAGUGAAAAUUAUCUUACACAUAGCACAUGCAUUUUAAGUGUUCUAAAAUUCACAUAAAUUACAUUUAGCAUAGAUUUGCAUUUAAAAUGACGUUACGACGAGUAUAGGAAGCAUAGGGGCCAUUUUGCCCCGUUUUCAUGAAGCCAAACCCACCACAACUCUUGCGCUCCUUCGUUUGCUCCAACGAAGGUAUCCACUAGUCUCCUAGCACCCUAAAGAUGUAGGAACAAGGGUUAAACGAACCUUACGAUCGACCCUAAGCUCAAUCAUUAAGCAACAUAGGCUAAUGUAAUACACUGGAUCUUGCAAAUCGCGAAAUUCGAGUGUUUGAUCUGUGUGUGGAGCCUUUCCACAGUUUUUGGAGGGUCGUUGAUAGUGUUCCGACCCCUAGCACGCACCCCGAGGAUGUUGGUUUGAGACUUGGUACCAAAAUCCCAAAAUUGGAAUUUUUGGUCAGCUCUCGGGUAGCCUGUAGCAGAGCUUGUACCGGAACAAGGUUGGCCUUGUACCGGUACAAGGUUGAUGGUUGUACCGGUACAGCCAUCGGAGCUUGUACCGGUACAGAGCCGCAGACCCAGCAACCCGAGCCUCGGGUUUGCAUUUUCGUGGGCCUUGUACCGGUACAAGAGUCCGUGUACCGGUACAAGGAGACAGUUUUUGUGCAGUUUGACUGCAGGGGUGUUUUUGCGUUUGUAGCACUUCUAUAAAUGCACCCCACGCCCCUUAGGGCCUCCCCUGUGCUGAGACCAGCAGGAGUUGAGGUAGGAGAAGCUCACUCUCCUUUCCUUUCAUUUUUACUCCUUUUGCUUGGUUUUUAUUGGGUUUUCUCUCCUCUAUUUGCAUCUUGGUGGUUUCUCCACCAUUGUUGAUGGCUUAGAGCUUGGAGAGGAGCUAGUGGCAGCGGAGAUCUUCAACAUCACUUGGAUUGGAGCUAAGUUUGGAGCUUCUUGAGAGGUUAGAGACUUGAUUUCUCCCUUUGAUCCAUGAUUUGAGGUUUUUGUGAGAUCAAACCCUAGAAAUGGGAAUUUAGGGUUUAUUUGGGCAUUUUCGUUUUAGGGCAUUUGAGGCUUGAUUCUUUGGAUUAGAACCUUCUCCUAGAUUGGAGUGGAAGUGUUCUAGCCUCCUUUUUGUGCUUGUGAAGAGAUUUUCCAUAAGAGGUGAGUUUUUGCCCUUAGUAAGAGAUGGUUAAAGAUUGAACUUAGUGUCGUUCGUUUCGACUAGAUGACACUUGUUCUCAUACCUUUAGGGUACUAGGAGCGUGGUGGACGCCUUCGUCGUGGCAAACGGAAGCUUUCGUUGACGACGGUGGGUUUGGCUUCGGGGAAAUGGGGCGAAAUGGCCCCUAUGCUCUUUCUACAUGUUGUAAAAUAUUUUUAAAUUCAUUUCUAUGCUAAAUGGGAUUUAUAUGAAUUUUAGAGCACUUAAAAUGCAUGCCUUGUGUAUUAUGAAAAUUUCACUAUAUAGUAGAGCUAUAUGAGUAGAAUGCAUGCAUAUGGGAAAAGUGUUUAUUUUGCAAAUGAAAAAUACAUCUCUUAUGAGGAUUAUGACUUAGAAUAUGUACCUUGGAAUAUAGUUGUCAUGCUUUGACAUAAAGAACAAGAGUGUCAUCAAGGGACACUUGAGACUAGUAAACUAUGAAACUGCAACAUAGAGACAUAUUGAUAGGCCACUACAUAUCUGCUAUAUUCCAUGUUAGAGACAUGAUGACAUAGGGAUAGGCCAUUGAGAUACUUGACACAUUCCAUGUUAUUAGACAUGAGGACUUGGUACUUGCGACAGACCGUUUGAUUACUUGCCAUUGUGCUCAUUCGCACAUGCUUGUGAGGGUCGCUCCCUACAAGCCGGCACUCCGGAGAUAGCCAUCGCGAUUCAUAUUCGCCGUGCGGGAUUGGGCGCCGAAGUGGAUUGCCGUGGGACAGGCUCAUUCCUAGGGUGGGGAUGAUGACUACCACGGGGCCAUUAGGCUCGGCACCGGCCAGACAGCCUACGGGUGGGUCUCAGGGCCAUAGACAGCCUUCGGGUGGGUCUCUUCAGAUUUGACUUUGAGUAUUCAUUAUGACAUGUGGACAGAUGAUGACUUAGUGUACUACUUGGACAUUGACUAGAAUAGUAAACAACGGAACUUUACUAUUUCGCAUUGUGAACAUUAUGAUAGUUGGAGACUUUUACUUCAUGCAUAGUUGCUUCAUACUUAUGCUAAUUAUGCUAAGUAGAGAUAUCAUGUUGUAGUAAGUUACAUUUUUACUUACCUUUCGCUUUUCUACUUUUAUAGUCACUGACAUCUUUUGUAGCUUUGGGCCUUGUGGUGCAUUCACUGAAGUCAGUAAUUGCCCACUGGGAACUAUUUUUAAUAGUUCUCACGCCCCUGUUUUAUGGUUUACUUUUCAGAGCCUUCGGCACCGGCGGAGGCACGGGAUCGCGGCAAGGGGAUCGCUUAGCUAGCUAGCGGGGAGCGGUACUUUGCCUAGGUGGUUUACUCUUUCUUUUGUAGUUGAGAGAGUGAGAGUUUUUGUAUCCAUGUAUAGAGACCACCUAUGUAUCUACCUAUAGCACUUGUAUUUGGGAUUUUCCUUGUAUCACUUUAUGUUUUAUUUAGUGGAUUUACAGUUUUAUCCUUAUCCCUUGUUGUAGCAUUUAGACAUUUAUUAUGCUCUGAUACUCCUAGAUGUCUUUUAUUAUUGCUUUUAUUAUUGUUGUGUUUAGACGCCUUAUAUGUUUUAGACGUAUGGCGGGUCUAGGCACGCGCCGGGUGGGCUUCCGCAGGGUCCCGGGGCGUGACAGCUAAGGUGGAGAAACUCACCUCAAGUAAAGAAAUCCUCUCUCAAGCUCCAAAUGGGAGUUAGAGUUCUUCAAAUCCAACCUAAAUAAAGGUUCAAAACCCAUCAAUUGGGUCUCCAAGCCCUCAAAUCAAAAAUCCCCAAAAACAAACUCUAAAUCUCAUUUCUAGGGUUUCAUAUGGUAAAACCUACCAAAAUAUAAAUCAAAGGCUAGAAUCAAGGUACUAACCUCUCUAGAUGCCCCAAAACAAGCUCCAAAUCUUCUAGGGUUGAAGAUUGAUCCUCCACAAAGCUCCAAUAGCAAGCUCCAAGCCUCCAAUGGUGAGCAAAGGGAAAGAAAGAUGCUCCAAAUCCUCAAGAUCUUGCUCUCCUCCAACUCCUUCUUCUUCUCUCUCUAGAGUGAGUGUGGGGGAGAGAAAUAAGGGAGUGAGAGAGUGGAAGGACCAUAAAAGCCCUCUCAAGUAACAAUAUCCACCUAGGUCCCUCAACUGUGUAAUGUGUGCACUGCCAGGUCUGGGCAAAUUUCGCCCAGAGGGACCGGUCUCUCCCUGCCUAGGACUGGUCUCUCAGUCCAAACCGAGGAAUCCAACGUUCGGGAACCGGUCUCUCCCGGCAUGGGACCGGUCUCUCCCCGCAAAGUCGCACUCGGGGACCAUUCUCAUCCGCCAGGGACCGGUUGCCUCGCAGGCUGCCGCAACACUGUUCUGAGGGAACCGAUCUCUCCCUACCAGGGACCGGUUCCCGAGAGUGAAAACUCUCAGGAUAAAUUCAAAACUCCAGAAAUCGAACUUUUAGGUCUAAAUACCAUCUACGACCUUCCACCAAGUGUGGAAAAGUUCGGAAUCCAUAUCAAACACUCGAACCUCGCAAUUUGUAAAGGUCCAGUGUGCUACAGCUAUCUACGGAGCUACGCCCUCGCCUCGCGCCGCUGCGCCGUUCGCAUGCGAACAUGUAACACUCCAAAGCAACGUGAGGUGAGAACCAACUCCAUGGUUCCCAGUGGGUACGGCCACCCAAGGGAAAAGCUUAACCAACAGGUCCAAGGGAGGCAACUACAGGUUAGCUUAAUAAACAAAUAGAGACGAUAUCUAGAUUAUGCAUUUAACAAAACCAUGCCUUGCCUCACAAAUGCAACAAUGCCAUGCUAUAUGCAAAUCAUGCAAUAAUGCAACUACCAACUAGUAGUUCAUUCAAUACUACAUUCAAUUCGGCUAUCCAAAGCUCGACCAAUUAACAUCUAAGGCUUCCACUAUCUUAGAUUCUUGUCAAUCUCAAUUCUAUUCACAAGGUUUUGUCUACCUUUACAAGCUAUCCACCCGACUCGGUCUUGAGUCAAUCAUCUGCGGAGUACCGCACAAAGCCAGGCUCGAGGUGAAGGACGUCUCACUUGCAUCUCCGCCUUAAAUCCACUCAACUAGGAUACCAAAUCCACUCUAUAGCUUAUGUACUUGUCACCCAAUCACUAGGCUAACCCGAGGGUUAGCCCUCAACUCACAUCUCAAUCCCUCCUAGGUGAGGACCCUGCUGUCAACCCACCCGGGACCGUCUGCGGACAACUACGUCUGUCCUGAACGUGACCAACUCCGGAGCGCACUAACGGGGGGAGCGACCACCCCAAGCACAGACUAUGUGAGUAUGAUCCAUCCUCGCCAUCGAGAAGCCCUAUCCACUAGGGUUAUCAUCAUCAUGGAAUCAAUGUAUUCCUAUACUCAAUCUCAUAGUGUUUCAACUACACUAAGUUCUCAUGUAUCAUGUCACCUCUAGGGAAAAUUCAUCUAUCCCUAAGUUCAUUGCAUCAAAGUGUCUCUUUACACCAAUAUCAAAUGCCACUCUUAACAACACGGGAAAAUCCUCUAUCCCUAUGUUCAUAUCAUAGUGUUAAUACCCCACUUGUAUUUCACAUGCCACUCACCUAGAUCUAACUGACUCUAGGUUCACUUUCAACCUAUGUUCCAUAACACUAGGUUAUUUGUCAUUCUUAUCCUAGGUUCACGACACUAGGUCCACAUCCGACCUAUGUUUAAUAACACUAGGUUCUUUCGAUGCCACUCGAUCUAUUCGACACCUAAUUGUCCACAUCGAGUUUCUAUAAUUACAUAUUCUCUAUCUCGUGCUUACAAUGCCAACAUGCAUCUUAUCUAACAUAGUCGAUAAUAUGUUAUUAUGCAUGCUCUCUAACACGAUCUUGCAAUGCUAACCCGUACCUAGCAUAUAUUCCACAAAAGGUUAUCAUGCAUUUCACUUUGCUUUUCUACAUCAUGUCCCAACACAUUCUUCUAGCUUACAUUUUAACAUGUCAAUAUGCAAUUAUCAUCUAGCAUAUAUUUCAACAUAGCAAAUUGCCAUUAUCAACUAGCAUGCAUUUCUAAUGCAUCAACAUGCCGCUAUCAACUAGUAUACAUAAUGUUUAUAUGCAACUAUCAACAAUACAUCAAAAUGCAUGUUCUCUAACAUGAUCUCAUGGAUCUAUCACUAGCAUAUACUUUCACUGCAUCAACCUAUCAUUGUCAACUAGUAUAAUCAACUAUCAUCUAGUAUAUAUCUCCACAUAGCAAUUUGCCAUUAUCAACUAGCAUGCAUUUCUAAUGCAUCAACAUGCCACUAUCAACUAGUAUACAUAAUGUUUAUAUGCAACUAUCAACAAUACGUCAAAAUGCAUGUUCUCUAACAUGAUCUCAUAAUGCUAAAUGCACCUAGCAUUUAUCCCAAUGCACACAUACAUAUCACUUGCAUCUACUUACUAGCAUAUACUUUCCAAUGCAUUAUUAUGCAAUUAUCACUAGCAUGUAUUCUACCCACUAGCAUACAUUUACAUAAUGCUAAGAUGCCCGUAUGAGCGUACAUAUGCAUCAACAAGAAUCCAUGUUCCAGUUGACAUGCGGGGCGACCUAGUCGCUUCGGUAAACACAACCCACCUGUUAUCACGUUCCGAUUGCUUGUCGACACUUGCAAUCGGCCUCCCGCGGCACCCACUAUCCGAUUUGGCCCGAUCUCGCAAUUGCGCACCAACCGCACGCCGCUUGGCAGCCCCGAAAAUUAUAGGUCUUCAGUUAUGUGUCACGGUGCCCCAAAUCCGUUUUCAUGAUUUUUAGACGCCGCCUUGGCCCUCCAGGCAGAAACGAAGCCUAAGCAUCCGUUUCUUUAAUAACUUCGCGUAGGCUCGGCGAAUCGCCGAACCGACUUCUCCAACGCGUUCGUAUACCUAGCAAUUAGGUUUAUAUAGGUUCAAUUUAGAUCAAACCCAUCUACUAGCAAAAAUUGUAUUUAGAAGCCCUAAGUUACAACUAUGUAAGAAAUCACCAUAUAAUUUCAUGAUUCAAGCAUUAAUCCUCUAUUUAGCAUCUAGGAGUUCCACUAAAUCCAUUCUUAAAGCAUAUAAUUGAAGCCCUAAAAUUCUAUCAUGAGAGGGCUCAAGAAGCUCACCUCAAAGUUUGCUCCAAACCAUGGAGAAGAUGAAGAAGAUGGAGAUGAUUCACUUCCAAGCUUCAAUCUCCACCAAAUCCAUCAAUUUUAGGAUAGAUUUAGAGAGAGAAAGGGAGGUUUCUUUCUCACUCCAUGUAUGCGUGUGUGUGUGUGAGGUUGUGGCUCACGGUUGAGGGAGGAAGGAGAAGAAGGGAUUAAAUCCCUUUUUACAAGUUAGCUCCUCAACUUUACACUAUUCAACUCUAGCAGCUUGAAAUCUGAUACUUUUCGCCGGAGCCCUUCUGAAUGUCUGUUUGAGCUCAAAUUUGACAGUCAGGCUCGGUUUAACUUAACGAAACCGAAUUUAUCUUAACUUUUCAGUUUCGACCCCGUUUGGUCACCGAAAGCUCUACCGAACUGCAAUCUUUAGCAGAUAGCAGUUUGAUUUUAUUCUCUACCUUCCAUGUAAUACACCGAAUUUUUAAUAUAAAAAUAGAUGUAAAUAAAAAUAGUGUAAAAUACUAUUUUUAUUGGAUUUAGAGAAGUAAAAUAUAAGUCGAAAACGACUUGUGCUGAAAUCGGAACGAAAACAGAAUAUUCAGAAUUUUUUGUGAGAAACGGGACUGAUAUUUUAGCAGAAAAUGCACAGUUUCAGAAAAUUAUAAAAAUUAGAGAAUAUGUCAGAGUUAUUUUUAUGAGGCUAGACUUAAAGUUUCAUAUCAUUCUGACACCCGAAAGGUGAAAAAUAAAAUCCGACUGCUAUCUGCUAGAGAUUACAGUUCGGUAGAGCUUUCGGUGACCAAAAAUGGUCGAAACCAAAAAGUUAAGAUAUUUUCCGUUUCGCUAACUUAAACCGAGCCUGACUGUCAAAUUUGAGCGAAAACGGACAUUCAGAAGUGCUCCGACGAAAAGUAUAAGAUCUGAACUAAACUGAAGUGUGAAUGUCGAUGACUUAUGGACCUACGGGCAAUUGUUACAUUGCUUAGUGGAUUUCCACUAAGCUGCCAGGCUCCAUUCUUAUCUUCUUCGUCUUCAACCUGUACGCAUGAGAGAGAGAGGGAAAGGAAGAGAAAAGGAAAAAGAGAGAAGAGCAGGAGAAUUAAUAGGGAAAAUUGAGUGGAAAUUAGUAGAUUUGAAGAAAUUGAAGCUCCAGCCCGUGAGGAGCUCGAGUGGCCAUGAGUCAAGGUGGGUUAUCUUGUAAUUUCUUGGUUGGGGAUUGAUACAAUUUCCUAAGUUAAUGGGUUGUGAGGUUCUUGAAGUGUUCAGAUUGGCUUACUAUAUACAUUUUUAAGCAACCUGUGAUAGUAGAGAGUAUAAAGGAGCUAUAGGUAUCAUGUAUUAGCUUUGGCAACUAGGAAUUAGGAAAACUAACCUGCAGGUUAUAGAGUCCUUUAUUAGGAAUGGAUGUAAAGCCUCUAGAUUAAUUAAUUUUGAAUAGGAAUGGACGUAAAGCCUCUAAGUUAAUUAAUUUUGAAGUUCUUGGGCUAGUAAGAGUCGAGUUACUCUAUAUGCUUUUGUGAAAUUGUAUAGUAACAGGUUGUUAUAUUUUCUUGAUUAGGGUUAUGUUAUUUUCCCUAAUAAGGAUUAAGCUAUGGAUUCUUAAUUGCUAAAGUUAGUAGUUACCAUGAGGAAACCUAGAGUAGAUUAAUCUUAAUUCCUGAUUAGAGUUUAUUGUAAUUAACCUAAGGAAGAAUUGGAACAUGAUUAUGACAGGAAUUUGCAUCUAUUAGAGGCUAAAACUUGUAGAUGCUAUCUAAUACUAGAACUUAUACUANNNNNNNNNNNNNNNNNNNNNNNNNAAAUCAUAUCUCUUAGUAGAAAGAUAAAAAAUCUUGUUCAACCGCUUUUACAUAAACAGGGACAUUCACAACCUGGUUAGGAUUAAUGCCAUUCUCAAAUUGCUUAUUCCACAAACAAUUCAAUAAGUAUAUUAAUACAUAUACAUCGCUUUCCUAAGCAUAAUUUCUAGCCGGCGGGGUUUCCAGGUUUAUAUAGCAUCAUAAUCAUCCACAAAGCUUUAACCCUACACUUUGAUGGUUCAACGCUUCCUUAGAACGAAAGCACACUCAAAUCAGAUUAUCUAUACAUUCUAUUUCAGCCUUUUACCCUAACAUUUCAUUAACAUAUACAUAUAUGCUAUCAAACAAGGUUUCCUAAGCCCUUUAACGCUCUCUACAAGCUAAUUCACGCUAAAAUCUCUCUCAACCGCGACAAAUAAACUAUACCCUCACUGAGAAUAAACUAAUUACCUAAUUCGAGGAGCGGUGCGCGAGAGCGUGCCGGGGGCGAGCGGUCGGCGCAGCUCCCCAAUAAGACCAAUAACACCCGCGCCAAAGCUCAUGCCAUUUCUCCAACAAUCCUUCAAAGUUUUCUUGCUUGGGUUGAGAGAGAAAGAGAAGGGAAAUUAGAUGAUAUGAAAAGGCUGUGAAGUGUAUGUUCAAAGUACCGUGGCAAGUCUAGACAUCUGGGUAAAGAGAUUAAGAGCUAAAAUUGCAGCUUAAACCCUAAUAAAUACCGAUGAACUCGCAUUGGCAGUCUAUAGUUGUUCGCCAGUUGAGGGUCCUUCAGGUUCGGCAAUCAAUCCCUAUAAGGUCCAAAUCAGUCCCGCAGCCUAAACAACGCUGCAGCACAAGUUUUCAGCCCCGAUUUGCAUCGUCUCUAGUUCGUCUUCGAACUUAUCUAAUUCACUUCCUGAUUAUCGCUCAUCAAACCUCCACAAACGCUACCAGUAUUAACUUCGGGAAUAAACCAAUUUCAUUUUGCAUCUAUCUUGAAUCAACUUUGAUCAGAUUAGCAAUUAACUCAAAAUUCGAUUGUAUUACAUUUACGGUACAAUAAACAAUAGACACCUACCCAAAGUAACCAGACCUAAAGUUAAUCUCAAGUUUCAUUUCCCAUCAAUACUUACAAUUUAAUUUCCAAUUUAUACAUAAGGCUGCUAGCAUAGUAAGAAAAUAAUUAUAUAAUGAUCUAACGGAUAAAAAUGAUCAAAAGGGUAGAUCUAACGCCGGAAAACUUGGUAGCACCAAGUUCUUCGUGCUAUUAAUAGCAUAGUAGCCGGACUCUAUAUAUAUAUAUAUAUAUAUAUAUAUAUAUAUAUAUAUAUAUAUAUAUAUAUAUAUUAUGAGUAGUUGUUAGGGAUAAAAUUUGAGAUGGAAUAACAUUAAUAUCUACUUGAGAAUAAUAUGGUUGCUGUAUAGAGAAGUUAAAUGAUGGAUCAAUUAGCUUCUAAAGGUUGAGGCGGUUGUGGAUAAACCUAUAAAAGCUAUGUAUGAACCUAUAGUGAACUAUAGGUUGUAUAGUUGAUUUAUAAGCUGUGGUUUGGGUUAAAAUGGAAUUGUGGCUGAGAAUAUGACCUUAUAAUGCUUAGGGAUGAUGUUUACUACCCUAAUGGAGGUUAGUUAGGAGUUAGUCUAGUUUCCAAAACCCUAAACUGCCAUAGGGAACCUAACAGAAAACUAUAGGUAUGUAUAUAUGACAUUAUGCAUACGAAUUGGAGUCAAAUGCAAAGUUUGUAAAGAUGUGAAUGUGACUUAGGUUUAAUCUCUUUUAUUCCUUCUUGAAGGAAGGUGUAACGUGCUCAGAAGCUUAAAUUGGUAUUUCGACGGACCUACGACGCGCUAAUUGAGAAACGCUUCGUUCUAACUACGGGUACAUCGAGUCGCGAGGACGUGAUACUUGUGAGCUCCGGGAUAUUGGCUUUAGUAUUUCGGCAUCCUUACAGGUGGGUGGUGCUAUCCGAAAUCUUUGAAUCACCUUUUAUGUCUAUAAUAAUUCAUUGAGCAUAUUUAUAUUUGUAGUUAUGCAUUAUAGGGUAUUGGCAUUGUGCAAGUGAAAGUGUGAAUUCCUAUCAACAGUGAGAACAUGUGAACAUUAGAAUGUGGACAUAGAACCCUAUGAUUGUAUGGACUAUAACAAUAGUGAACUUGGUGACAUUCUAACUAGAGAUUUGGUUAGCAUCGAGAAAUGAAAUUGCAACUAGCAUAAAGAGCUAGUUAGAGUUAAAGUGUGACAUUGUCUGUUGUUGAAUCCUCUAAAGGAGGAUCAGAUCAUACUCACAUAGUCUGUUUUGAGCGUGGUGGUGGUCGCUCCACCCAAGCAGUGCACUCCGGAGGUUGUCACAUGAUGGGCUAAAGUAUUUGCCCAUGGACUAAAGUAUCUGUCCAGCAGACGAUCCCGUCGGGAUGCAGCUUAGGGCCCGAUUAUCAGGGAUUGCGUUGGUGAGUUAUUGUUAAUCAAAAGGUUAACCAAAAGAUUGGAUAAAUUCAGUAAAAGCAUGCAUGCGUAUUUACAGUUUUCAUAUAUUGCUUCUUUUAGCUUUGUACAGGCACUGUAGUACUUACAUGUUAUAGUUGGUUACUAUCUGUUUACUUCUUUUGCCUACAUAUGCUUGAAUAGACCUAGUGGGUGAGUCGGCGAGGUCGGCGGCCGAACCCACUGGGAACUUUUAGUAGUUCUUACACCACUAACCAUGCAGGUUCUAGCUCGUGUGAGGUGAUCGAGGAUCGUGAUAUGGACAGCGUUCCAUAGAUAGUGGACAUCCAUUGAGUAUAGUUGUACCUUAUUUAUUUCAUCUAUUUAUAGUCAAUGAAAGCAAAUGUAAAUUAUUCAUUUGAGAAAUGACAAUGUAUAUAUUGGAAGAAUGAAUGUAAUAAUUAUGUAAGCUUGGUAUUUGAUUUAAAGUAGUUAAGAUACAAUGUAUGAAUGGUUUAGUUAGUUUACUUUCACUUGUGCUUGUUGCUUGCCCUCGUGCAAGUCAUGUAUAUUGAAAUAUUCUCUUGGGAUUAUUUUUUUCUUUAUACAUGCAGCUAUAAUUGUUGAGCCUUGGGCGGACAGGGGAGGUGCUGUCCGUUCGGCGUCUGUGUACGGGCCCGAAUCGACCAAAUUGGCGAUAGCGGGACGUGACAGAUUAAAUGGUAUCAGAGCAAUGCAAGUGAAAGUAUAGGAUGGACCUAGGGACCUUAGGAUGGAAAACCAUAAGGAUCUAGGUUCGUGAGAGACGAGAAUCUUAGUGUGUGGCGAAAGAUUAAACCGAUUGGGUCAUAUGUUAUAUACCUCUACAAAGGAUGUUAGAGGUGAAUCCAAGGUGUAGUUUAUUCUCAGCAGGGAGAGUUCAUGUUGGAUGCAUACAACAUGAAACCGAGUGAUGAGAAUAGGCUCCCUUGUAUGAUCUUCGCCUGAUUUGAGUUGGGGUUGAUGAUAGUUGUCUCGUGUUUGACCUGGAGGGUCAAAAUUUGGUCACGUAUUUGUGCGUUUACUAGUUUUGUGUCGCCGAUCUCUAAUGAGAUCGAUGUGGUUUGGGGAUGAGUGAAGUCCCUAAAUUGACUGAGCUUAGAGGAAACUCGAAGCUCUGGGGUCGGUUAGUCAUGUUUGUUGUAGUAUGGUAGCGAUGAGUCAUUGCGAUGCAAUGUCAACAGGAGGCUGUCUUGCGUUUGGCAAAUUGGAUCGAUGAGCUUCAGAGGGCUGUGAAGUAAGGUAAUGUGGCUCCUCGCUUUGUGGCACAGAAAAUAAAAUGAGAGCUAUUAUAGAUUGGUUCCCGAGAAGUUUUCUCUGGAAGGAUUUGUAUAUCUGAAACAGAAUAAAGAAUAUGCUGUUAAGAGUAAACGACAAGUGAAUUAUCGGAUAAGCUUUGGAUGCUAUAGCAGGGUGACUGCUCAGUGGAAGAGUAUGUAGAGAAGUUUUUCUGCACAGUAAAUUGUGUUUAGUACACAAUGUGAGAUAUUGGACUGUUAUGGUGGGUGAAGACUACUAAAUAAUGUGUCAAAGUUGUGCAUUUUAUAAAUCGCUAUCCUCGGAUGAAGUAUUAGAUCAAACCUUGUGGUUGAAGUCAGGUGAUAUUUCGCGCGGAGGGAGCGCGAACUGAUUAGUUGAUAAUGGAGGGUGAGCGACUGAUGUAUGGUUUGGGUGGUCAAUGGAGCAUUAAGCGACACCCAGAAGAGAAUUGCAGAUGCGAUUUCAAUGUCGAAAAGUUCUUCUGGCUGACUUUUUGAGAGGAAUGGUAGUGGUAGCUUUCACCCGGCGAGGCCGUGUGUAUUAUUGGAUAAGUGAAGUUGCAGUAAAUUGACUUCAGUAGGAAGAUUGUAUACCUGGAAGCGAUGCGAACUCCGAGUGGUACAUACAAGAAUGUAAUAGAGAUCUAGAUUUGGGUAGAUGUAAUACCCUAGUGUGCAUAGAUGAUGCCAGUGAAUGGUUUAUAGUAAACCAAUGUUAGAGCUCGAGUAUACCUGAAACUGGUGAACUGGUUCUUUAAGUGUUAAAGGUGAUAGUUAGAGCCAAGUUAAGACGUUAGAAAACGUUCCUAAAGUGUGAGAAGUCGGACGAUGUUCCAAUGAAUCGCGUAGUGGUAAUAGCGUCGUUGUUGUAGAGUGGUUAGAUGAUCGCCUAGUUUUGGCGAGUUAAUCGAGCGGUACCUCAAAUAAGUUGAGGGAAUUUGUGUUUGUGCAUCAUAGGCAUAGGCUGAGUUGCCUAGUGUGUGGUAUUUAGUAAGAAACGUGAUAGUAUAGGACGCUCAAAUAUAGAUGUCCAUAGAGUAUGGAUUGGGCAGUAGCACUUGAGCGUUGCCAGGUGUGAAGCGUGCCAUGGAUCACUCGUGCGGCUGGUGGCUCGCACUAAGUGCUUAGGAGCUGAUAGUGAUGUGGAUUGCUCGAUAGAACGUUUCAUGAAUGACGACGAUUGAGGAUAGUGCUUUCGGACGAUCCGUGCCUGGACCAUAUGUGCGCUGUGAGGCCUAGGGCCAUUUGGAUAGGCGCAGUUAGCUAUGUGUAGCAGCGGCUCGAUAUUUGUGGGUAGGACAGAGAUAUUGGUCAGGACGGUAGUCCGAGCUUGGAUAGGUAACGUGAUGUGUCACGUAUUAGACCGUGUGAUCGAUAGUACGCUGAGAGUGUGAAUUUGACCCACCCUUAAAAUUUGUAAGUGGUUUGGAAUUUGGAUUACUCUUGAUUGGAGUAACUGUGUGAGCUCUCAACUGAGGACUUUGCCUCGUGAUGAUUGAGUCUGCGCUUGCGAGCGAGAGACGCUGUGUGAUAUAGCGAUCGAUUUAGGCGAUAAACCUAUGUAAGAGCGGUGGUUUAUAAAUUGAUGUAUGAUUGUUGGGGACAAAUGGGCUAGUCGAUUAGUCUCGAAAUACGAGUAUUGGGUGUAAUAUUGUAAUUCGGGAAUAGUGACCUUAGGAGCUGAGGCUCGGUUAUACUGUUUACCUAUUUGGAAUCGCCGAAGUUAGGCGCAAAUGAGGAGUUGAGGGUAGAAGCACGAACGAGGUGUUCGUGGGGACUCGUUGUGAGAAAUUGGUAUAGUAUGGAACGAGGUGUUCGUGUUUGGGGAAAUGAGAUAUCCUUUUUGAAAUUGUUGUAUAGUGGAAAGCCACGUGAGGUUUGGAGGAUUAUGCCCUCAAAUUGCUAAAGUUGUGGUAGUGCUGGGGACUUUUUGGUUUGGUGCUAUGUUUAUAUGAUUCACACCGUGAGAAGAAACGAGUAGUACUGUUCCUUGAGGAAAAGAAAUGAUACUUACUGGUAGUGAGUGAUUGUCGUCUGUUGAUGAUAAUUGAUGACAACACGGGCCUGACAAGUGGAUUGUUCGAGCAUUUGUGGAUUGUGUGAAGGGAAUGCCUGUCGGAGCUAUGUAAAAAGGCAGAGUAGAAUAGUGGCUGAAUUAUAUUAUUUUGCUCCGGCGAAAUUUUAAAUUCGCAGUUGAGUACGGCAUUUGUUGAUGUCGAGGAAAGCAGAGUCCUUGAUACAUCAAACCCUAUGGAUAUCGCUGCCAAGUAUGUGAGAGAAUGCACAAUUAAAGCGGGACGUGACAGAUUAAAGCGGGAAUUGUAGAAAGUACUAUAUGAGGUGAUUCAGGAAUAAUAUCUGUUGUGCAUUCUGGGCUUGUGGGAAUGAGGAAAUUAUAGAAUUGUAUAAUUCUGUGUAUUGGUAAGUGUUGAAACCUAUCUUCAGCUGUUCGAUCGGAUGAAUGUAUGUAUGUAUCUAAGUUUCGCGGACGAAACUUUUGGUUAACGGGGGGAGAAUGUAAUACACCGAAUUUUUAAUAUAAAAAUAGAUGUAAAUAAAAAUAGUGUAAAAUACUAUUUUUAUUGGAUUUAGAGAAGUAAAAUAUAAGUCGGAAACGACUUGUGCUGAAAUCGGAACGAAAACAGAAUAUUCAGAAUUUUUUGUGAGAAACGGGACUGAUAUUUUAGCAGAAAAUGCAGUGUCAGAAAAUUAUGAAAAUUAGAGAAUAUGUCAAAGUUAUUUUUAUUAGGCUAGACUUAAAGUUUCAUAUCAUUCUGACACCCGGAAGGUGAAAAAUAAAAUCCGACUGCUAUCUGCUAGAGAUUACAGUUCGGUAGAGCUUUCGGUGACCAAAAAUGGUCGAAACUGAAAAGUUAAGAUAUUUUCCGUUUCGUUAACUUAAACCGAGCCUGACUGUCAAAUUUGAGCGAAAACGAACAUUCAGAAGUGCUCCGACGAAAAGUAUCAGAUCUGAACUAAACUGAAGUGUGAAUGUUGAUGACUUAUGGACCUACGGGCAAUUGUUACAUUGCUUAGUGGAUUUCCACUAAGCUGCCAGGCUCCAUUCUUAUCUUCUUCGUCUUCAACCUGUACGCAUGAGAGAGAGAGGGAAAGGAAGAGAAAAGGAAAAAGAAAGAAGAGAAGGAGAAUUAAUAGGGAAAAUUGAGUGGAAAUUAGUAGAUUUGAAGAAAUUGAAGCUCCAGCCCGUGAGGAGCUCGAGUGGCCAUGAGUCAAGGUGGGUUAUCUUGUAAUUUCUUGGUUGGGGAUUGAUAUAAUUUCCUAAGUUAAUGGGUUGUGAGGUUCUUGAAGUGUUGAGAUUGGCUUACUAUAUACAUUUUUAAGCAACCUGUGAUAGUAGAGAGUAUAAAGGAGCUAUAGGUAUCAUGUAUUAGCUUUGGCAACUAGGAAUUAGGAAAACUAACCUGCAGGUUAUAGAGUCCUUUAUUAGGAAUGGAUGUAAAGCCUCUAAAUUAAUUAAUUUUGAAUAGGAAUGGAUGUAAAGCCUCUAAGUUAAUUAAUUUUGAAGUUCUUGGGCUAGUAAGAGUCGAGUUACUCUAUAUGCUUUUGUGAAAUUGUAUAGUAACAGGUUGUUAUAUUUUCUUGAUUAGGGUUAUGUUAUUUUCCCUAAUAAGGAUUAAGCUAUGGAUUCUUAAUUGCUAAAGUUAGUAGUUACCAUGAGGAAACCUAGAGUAGAUUAAUCUUAAUUCCUGAUUAGAGUUUAUUGUAAUUAACCUAAGGAAGAAUUGGAACAUGAUUAUGACAGGAAUUUGCAUCUAUUAGAGGCUAAAACUUGUAGAUGCUAUCUAAUACUAGAACUUAUACUAAGCUAGCAGCCUAUAUGUAUAAAUUGGAAAUUAAAUGUAAAUAUUGAUGGGAAAUGAAACUUGAGAUUAACUUAGGCUGUUACUUUGGUAGGGUCUAUGUUUAUUUACCCUAAAUGUAAUACAUCGAAUUUUGAUUACAUUGCUAAUCUUGAUCAAAUUGAUCAAGAUAAUGCAAAAAAAUAAAAUUGGUUUAUUCCCAAGCUUAAUUGGUAACUUGUGGAGGUUUAUGAGCAUAAUUAGGAAGUGAUUAGAAGUAUUCGAAGCGAACUAGACGCGCAAAAUGGGCUGAAAACUGCUGCUGCCAGCUGUUGUUUAGUGCAGGGACUGAUUCGUAAACCUGCAGGGACUGAUUUGCGAACCUGCAGGGACUGAACUGCGAACUACUAGACUGCAAUGCAGUUUCGGUCUUUUAAGGGUUUAAGCUGCAAUUUUCUGCUCUUAUCUCUUUAACCCAGAUGUCUAGCACUUGCCCAGGUACUUGAACAACACUCCACAGCCUUUCAUCUCAUCUAAUUCUCCCUCUCUUUCUCUCUCAACCCAAGAAGAAAACUAGUGAAGGAAUUGUUGGAGAAAUGGCAUGAGCUUUGGUGUUUUGGUCUUAUUGGAGCUACCGAAGUGGGAAACCCAGCCUUGGAAGCUUCGAACUUAAGGUAAUUAGUUUACUUCUCAGCUGGGGUUUAGUUUAUUUGCUCCUUGAGAGAGAUUUUUAGGUGAAUUAAGCUUGUAGAGGCUUAAAGAGGCUUAUGGAACCUUGUUGAUAGAAUGUAUGUAUAUGUUAAUGAAAUGUUAGGGUAAAAAGGCUGAAAUCGAAUGGUUAGAUAACUCUGAUUUGAGUAUGUUCUCGUUCUAAGGAAGUUUGAACCAUAAAGUUUAGGGUUUAAAGCUUGUGGAUGAUGCUAUAUAAACCUAGCAACGUAGAAACUAUGCUAGGGAAAGCAUGUAUAUGUAUUUAUACUUAUGAAUGGUUGUUGGGAAUAAGAAUUUGAGAUGGAUUAAUCCUAAACCCAGGUUUGUAGAAUGUUCCCUGUUAUGUAAAAGGGCUGAACAAGAGUUUCUUAAGCGCUAAGACCCCAAUUGCCAUGAACCCUAUAGAAAUUAGCACUAUGCUAUAUAUAUAUAUGCAAGUAUAUAUAUAUAUAUAUAUAUAUAUAUAUAUUAUGAGUAGUUGUUAGGGAUAAAAUUUGAGAUGGAAUAACAUUAAUAUCUACUUGAGAAUAAUAUGGUUGCUGUAUAGAGAAGUUAAAUGAUGGAUCAAUUAGCUUCUAAAGGUUGAGGCGGUUGUGGAUAAACCUAUAAAAGCUAUGUAUGAACCUAUAGUGAACUAUAGGUUGUAUAGUUGAUUUAUAAGCUGUGGUUUGGGUUAAAAUGGAAUUGUGGCUGAGAAUAUGACCUUAUAAUGCUUAGGGAUGAUGUUUACUACCCUAAUGGAGGUUAGUUAGGAGUUAGUCUAGUUUCCAAAACCCUAAACUGCCAUAGGGAACCUAACAGAAAACUAUAGGUAUGUAUAUAUGACAUUAUGCAUACGAAUUGGAGUCAAAUGCAAAGUUUGUAAAGAUGUGAAUGUGACUUAGGUUUAAUCUCUUUUAUUCCUUCUUGAAGGAAGGUGUAACGUGCUCAGAAGCUUAAAUUGGUAUUUCGACGGACCUACGACGCGCUAAUUGAGAAACGCUUCGUUCUAACUACGGGUACAUCGAGUCGCGAGGACGUGAUACUUGUGAGCUCCGGGAUAUUGGCUUUAGUAUUUCGGCAUCCCUAUAGGUGGGUGGUGCUAUCCGAAAUCUUUGAAUCACCUUUUAUGUCUAUAAUAAUUCAUUGAGCAUAUUUAUAUUUGUAGUCAUGCAUUAUAGGGUAUUGGCAUUGUGCAAGUGAAAGUGUGAAUUGCUAUCAACAGUGAGAACAUGUGAACAUUAGAAUGUGGAUAUAGAACCCUAUGAAUGUAUGGACUAUAACAAUAGUGAACUUGGUGACAUUCUAACUAGAGAUUUGGUUAGCAUCGAGAAAUGAAAUUGCAACUAGCAUAAAGAGCUAGUUAGAGUUAAAGUGUGACAUUGUCUGUUGUUAAAUCCUCUAAAGGAGGAUCAGAUCAUACUCACAUAGUCUGUUUUGAGCGUGGUGCUGGUCACUCCACCUAAGCAGUGCACUGCGGAGGUUGUCACAUGAUGGGCUAAAGUAUUUGCCCAUGGACUAAAGUAUCUGUCCAGCAGACGAUCCCGUCGGGAGGCAGCUUAGGGCCCGAUUAUCAGGGAUUGCGUUGGUGAGUUAUUGUUAACCAAAAGGUUAACCAAAAGAUUGGAUAAAUUCAGUAAAAGCAUGCAUGCGUAUUUACAGUUUUCAUAUAUUGCUUCUUUUAGCUUUGUACAGGCAUUGUAGUACUCACAUGUUAUAGUUGGUUACUAUCUGUUUACUUCUUUUGCCUACAUAUGCCUGAAUAGACCUAGUGGGUGAGUCGGCGAGGUCGGCGGGCGAACCCACUGGGAACUUUUAGUAGUUCUCACACCACUAACCAUGCAGGUUCUAGCUCGUGUGAGGUGAUCGAGGAUCGUGGUAUGGACAGCGUUCCAUAGAUAGUGGACAUCCAUUGAGUAUAGUUGUACCUUAUUUAUUUCAUCUAUUUAUAGUCAAUGAAAGCAAAUGUAAAUUAUUCAUUUGAGAAAUGGCAAUGUAUAUAUUGGAAGAAUGAAUGUAAUAAUUAUGUAAGCUUGGUAUUUGAUUUAAAGUAGUUAAGAUACAAUGUAUGAAUGGUUUAGUUUACUUUCACUUGUGCUUGUUGCUUGCCCUCGUGCAAGUCAUGUAUAUUGAAAUAUUCUCCUGGGAUUAUUUCUUUCUUUAUACAUGCAGCUAUAAUUGUUGAGCCUUGGGCGGACAGGGGAGGUGCUAUCCGUUCGGCGUCUGUGUACGGGCCCGAAUCGACCAAAUUGGCGAUAGCGGGAUGUGACAUUCCAGGUGUCAGAAUGGCAUGAAACUUUAAAUCUAGCCUCAUAAAAAUAAUUCUGACAUACCCUCCAGUUUUCAUAAUUUUCUGACACUGUAUAUUUUCUGCUAAUUUAUCUGCCCCGUUUCUCACAGAAAAUCCUAAAUCUUCUGUUUUCACUCCGAUUUCGGCACAGGUCAUUUCCAAUUUAUAUUUCACUUCUCUAAAUCCAAUAAAAAUAGUAUUUCAUACUAUUUUUAUUUAUUUUCACUUUUAUAUUGAAAUCCGGUAUAUUACGUUCCACCGCAACUUCAUAAUUACAGAAGUUCGGCACCUUACAAACUCAGUCCCUCAUAUACUCAUAUGGACUCUAGUCUAGAAAGGUCGCUUUGUUGCCACAUCAGCCUAUUUAAAUCGAUCAACAGAUGUACUCUAAGAUGUCCGACAGAUCUUGACUAUAGAAGCAUUUAUCCCAAAUGUAACAAAAGUACAAGGAAAACACUAUAUGAUAAUGGAGACUAGAGUUUUGGCAUCCGCAUGCAUCAUCCUUGAGGCCUUUCUAUCAACUCGAUGGAUACGGGCACCAGCAAAUCAGUCCAUUUGUACGUUUGCCACUCUACAAUGGGCAAACACAUAUAACGCAUUGGCAAGUCAGGAAUCUCAAUUGAGUUUGACUGAAGAUUAUGACUACACCAAACAAAUUAUGCACUGCAAUAUUUAAAAAUUUUAAAAAACAACCAUUCCUCAACUUCAUAUAUUUUGCAGAUCCGAAAGCCGUACAAAGCACAUCCAAUCUAGUUGUUCCCACUCAUUACAAGUUCCCAAAUAUCGCUAUAUAGGUAACUUAUAUUGACUAGUUGAGGGAAACUAUAAAACCAGAUGGGAACUAACCCUAUUACACAUUCUCUGUACCACGUUAAGUGCAAUUUUACGGCAUCCUGAUAACUUGUUUGGCCUGACUGGAGCUUCUACAGAAGCACUAUUGAGUGAAGCUACUUGAAAAGACCCAAACAGCUUUUUCAUCAACAUACUCCCCAGUUGCUUUCUGCUGCAACAGAAACGCGGAAGCUCUGAAUCCAGGCUUCUUCUUUCGGGGUUUAAAAGGUCAUUUCUUUUCGCCAAAUACUUAACAACUGCUUUUUCAAAUUUAAACUGAGCUUUUUUUUUUUGUUUGAAGAUAAGCAACACAGGCCCUAAAAACACCAAUAUUUGCAAAGCACAAUCUAAAUCAAAUAAUUUGAAGUAAAAAAUAAAAAUCUUUUCCUUCUUAUACCUUGUCGAGACCAACGGGUCCGAGCGACGACUUCACGAUGUUGUCGACAGCUUGGCACACCAUCACUACAACACACCAAAAACAAUCAAAACAAGAGGGAAAGCGCAAAUGAAGGGUUAAUCUAUGAGAGAUCACAGGAAUUCGGAGUAACCGGAGAGGAUCUGGGAGAAGCUGUCACGUACCGUUCUGGGUGCGGAUGUCCUGGCCGGAAUGGCGCUCCCCGAGGAUGUCCGGCGACUAUGCCGUGAUCGCCAUCACCGGAGCUUGUUUCGAAGGUGGGGAGGGGAGAAACCCUAGAUUUACUACUCGAAAGAGGGAAUCGAGGGAAAAAGAGGGGAGGCCGGAAAGAGGGGAGAGGGGGAGCCUAUAAAACCAGAUGGGAACUAACCUAGUAAACUGUGGCAAAUAAAACCAUAUGGGAACUAACCUACUUUUAUUGGCUAGUGUAAUGACCUGAAGCAGUACUAGUAGUAGUAGUAGUAACAGAGGAGGUAAGUAUAACAACCGGGGAGAAGAAGAGAAGCAAUAGUAGUAGUUAGUAGAAGAAAAGUAGUAAAAAUCGCAACUUUACUAGUUAAAAUGGAGAAUAAAAGUGGCAGCAGCAAGUUGGUGAAGGAGCGAGCUCGGCAGAGUGAACCGGCAGGAAGGGCGCUCAGGCGAAACUCCGGCGGACGACGAGUAAGGACGGCGCGAGCGCGAGAAGCCGACCCAGACCCACAGCGUCUUCUGGGAGACUUGGCGGCCGGCUCACGCCGCCAUCAGCAUGCCCCGCUUGAGGUCGACGCCGGCGUCGCAGGUGGGGGCGGGGGCGGCGGCGGCGGCGGUGGAGAAAAUGGGAGGAACGCGAAAGGAGAAGGAGGUUUCGACAGGAUCUAAGGAUUUGGGGAAGAUGGAAGCCUUGCGGGUCGGAUUUGCAGAUCUCCGGAGUGGAGGCUUAAGGCGAACCCACUAUCCGCAGGAUGAUGGAUAGUGCGGAGAAGGCGGACCCGCGACCCGUUCGUCCGCUUACCCGCUUAUCAUGCAAUUUCGGACCGAGCAAGCCAGCGAAGGCCCAGUCCGCGAGCGAAUUCCAGCUCAGCCAGCCAAAGCAUCUCGCCUUGGGGAGCACUAGUCUUGUUGGACAAGGGCUUCAUUCGACCGAGCGUCUCGCCUUGGGGAGCACCAGUCUUGUUCGUCAAAAAGAAGGACGGAUCACUUCGCCUAUGUGUGGAUUAUCGUGAACUUAAUAAAGUCACGAUCAAGAAUAAGUAUCCGUUGUCGAGGAUCGAUGACUUGUUUGAUCAGCUUCAGGGCUCGUAUGUAUAUUCCAAGAUAGACUUGCAGUCGGGAUACCAUCAAUUAAAGAUCAAGCCCGAGGAUAUAUCGAAGACGGCUUUUAGAACACGAUAUGGACAUUAUGAGUUCACUGUUAUGCCGUUCGGGCUUACUAAUGUCCUGGCAGCUUUUAUGGAUCUAAUGAACUAUAUUUUUAAGCCUUAUCUAGACAGGUUCGUCGUGGUGUUCAUCAACGACAUUUUGGUUUACUCCCAAAGUGAUGCAGAUCACGAGGAACAUUUGAGGCUUGUGCUUCAAAUACUUCAGGAAAAGGAGCUUUAUGCCAAGCUGAAAAAGUGUGAAUUUUUGCUUCGAGAGGUAGCCUUCCUUGGACAUUUGAUUUCGGGAUCGGGUAUUGCCGUGGAUCCCAAGAAGAUUUAGGCUAUCAGGGAUUGGCCGAGACCGACGAGCGUCACAAAGAUACGGAGUUUCCUUAGAUUAGCCGGCUAUUACCGGAGAUUUGUCGAGGGGUUUGCCAAGCUGUCUACUCCCCUCACGAGGCUCACGCAUAAAGGCAUCAGGUUCAUCUGGAAUGAUGCGUGUGAAAGGAGCUUCCAAGAGUUGAAGCAAAGAUUGACGACCGCCCCGAUCCUAACCCUGCAGGUUGCCGGAGCAGGGUAUGUGGUUUAUAGUGAUGCUUCACUUAAUGGAUUGGGUUGCGUUUUGAUGCAGGAUGGCAAGGUGAUCGCGUGUGCUUCUUGCCAACUAAAGGAAUAUGAGAGAAACUACCCUACACAUGAUUUGGAGUUGGCAGCCGUAGUCUUCGCAUUGAAGUUAUGGCAGCGAUGCAUGGUGUUACUCAACCUCAGUUGAUCGAACAGAUGAAGCGGUUGGAGUUAGAGGUGGUGACUCCAGACACACCAUUGAGGUUGAUGACCUUGGUAGUGCAACCUAUGCUCUUGGAUAGAAUUAAAGAGAAGCAAGUUUUCGAUGUGGAAUUGCUAAAGAUUAGAGAUAAAAUGGUUGAUGGUUGCACUGGCAACUUCCUUGUGGAUGACCAAGAAUUGAUGCGUUUCCGUGGACGGAUUUGUGUACCGGCGGAUUCGGGACUAAAAGAAGAUAUUCUUCAAGAAGCGCACCGGGCACCAUAUACUAUACAUUCGAGAGGUACCAAGAUGUACAAGGAUUUAAAGUUACUCUAUUGGUCGCCCGGGAUGAAAAAGGAUGUUGGUGAGUUUGUUGCUAAAUGUCUAACUUGCCAACAAGUGAAGGCUGAGCACCGUUUACCCGCGGGGAAACUUCAGAGUUUGCCUAUUCCCGUGUGGAAGUGGGAGAAGAUCACCAUGGAUUUUGUGAUGGGAUUGCCUCGCUCUCAGGCCGGGCAUGAUGCUAUUUGGGUGAUCGUGGAUAGGUUGACGAAGUCGGCGCACUUCAUACCUAUCCAUACUACUUGGACUGGAGAGAAGCUCGCACAAGUGUACCUUGUUGAGAUUGUGCGACUUCACGGAGUGCCUACCUCGAUUGUAUCUCAUCGAGACACCCGAUUUGUGUCUCACUUUUGGAGGAGUCUGCAGGACGCCUUAGGCACUUGAUUGGAUUUCAGCACUGCUUUCCACCCGCAGAGUGAUGGAUAGUCGGAGCGCACUAUUCAGACUUUAGAGGAUAUGCUCCGAGCGUGUGUGAUAGACUUCCAGGGAGGAUAGUCACAGCAUCUACCGCUGGCAGAGUUUGCUUAUAACAACAGUUAUCAAGCAAGCAUCAAGAUGGCGCCCUUCAAAGCACUUUAUGGACGGAAGUGUAGAUCGCCACUUCAUUGGAGUGAAGUUGGAGAGAGAUUGAUUUUAGGCCCUGAUGUGCUCCAGGAAGCUGAGGACAAGGUUCGUAUUGCUCGGGAGGGGCUUUUGAUGGCACAGAGUAGACAGAGGAACUACGCCGAUCGACGACGGCGAGACUUGGAGUUCCAAGUUGGAGACCAUGUGUUCUUGAAGGUCUCGCCGACUAGAGGGACCAGGAGAUUCGGGAUUCGGGGUAAGUUGAGCCCCUGGUUUAUUGGACCAUAUGAGAUCUUGGAGCGGGUAGGUCCGGUAGCGUAUCGACUUGCUCUACCACCGAACCUAUCGGGCGUGCACAACGUCUUUCAUGUAUCGGUCCUUCGGAAGUACAUCUUCGACCCGACGCAUGUGUUGGAUGCUACACCUGUGCAGUUGCGGGAUGAUUUGGGCCUCGAAGAGCAACCAGUGAGGAUCUUGGCUCGCGAGGUGCGAAAACUGCGAAAUUAGGAUAUUCCGUAUGUAAAGGUUCUUUGGAGCAACCACGGAGAGCUGAAGGCCACGUAGGAGCGGGAGAGCGCUUUGCAGGAGCGCUACCCCCAUCUUUUUCAGAUGGAGUCUUGAGGUAUGUUGUUGCUUUUGAGUUUCGCGGACGAAACUCCUUUUUAGGAGGGGUGAAUGUAACACACUGGACCUGUGCAAAUUGCGAGGUUCGAGUGUUUGAUUUGGAUUCCGAGGUUUUCCACACUUGGUGGAGGGUCGUAGACGGUGUUCUGACCUGUAGAUCGAAAUUCUGGAUUUUUGGCUAAGUCCUGAGAGUGUCACUCUCGGGGACCGGUCCCUGGUGGGAGAGACCGGUCCCCCUGAAGCAACCGGUCCCCCGGGUCAGAGAGACCGGUUCCCGAACGCGUCUCUGCAGGAGAGUCCUGAGGGACCAGUCCCAUGUGGGAGAGACCGGUCCCUCCACCCGAAAAUUGCCCAGAUCUGGCUGUGUGCAGGUUGCAUUGUUGAGGGGCUUUUCUGGAUUUUGUUACAUUAGAGUGCUUAUAUGGCAUUUCCUCUCCCUCUCUCCCUCAUUUCUCUCGCUCACACUCUCUCUUACACUCUAGAAAGAGAAGAAGAAGGAGAAGGAAGAAAGGGAAGAAGGAGGAGAAGAGGAAGGAGAGCUUGCUUGGUGGACUUUGGACUUCCCCCACGCCCUCUCUUCUCACCUUGGUAGCUUGGGGCUUGGGCUAGGAGCUUGAUAGAGGAUCAACCUUCAACUCUAGAGCACUUUGAGCUUGGUUUGGAGAUUCUCUUGAGGUUGGUAGCAUGUAUUCUUCUUUUGAUGCAUGCUUUCCUAGAUUUCGCUAGAUGAAACCCUAGAAAUGAAAUUUAGGGUUUAUUUUUGGGGCUUUUUUGAUUAGAAGCUUUUGGAGCUCUAUUGAUUGGUUUAGAACCUUGGUAUAGGUUGCUUUGGAAGGGAUUUGGCUUCCAUUUGGGAAUUCUUAGGGGAUUUCUAUGCUAUAGGUGAGUUUUCUCCACCUUAGCUAGAGUUGGUUAAUGUUUGAGCUUUGGGAUGUUCGUAAGUUCCUACAUCUUUAGGGUGCUAGGAGACUAGUGGACACCUUCGUCAGAGCAAACGAAUGGUCGCAAGAGUUGUGGUGGGUUUGACUUCAUGAAAUCGGGGCAAAAUGGCCCCUAUGUAUACUAUACUUGUCAUAACGUUAAUUUGAUUGCAUAUUCAUGCUAAAUAAAAUUUAUGUGAAUUUUAGGACACUUAAAAUGCAUGUGUUAUGUAUGAUGAAAAUUUCACUCUAUAUAGUAGAGCUAUAUGUGUAGGCUGCAUGCAUGUGGAAGUGUUUGUCUUUGCGAAUUGAUUACAUGUCUCGUGCGAGGGAAAUGAUUAGAAUUAUGUAUUCAUGAACAUAAUUAUCAUGCUUUGAACUAGUGAACAAAAGUGUCAUGAAGAAGCACAUGAACUAGUAAACUGGAAAACUGCAAUAUAGAGACAUAGUGAUAGGCCAUUGACAUCUACUAUAUUCCAUGUUUUAGACAUGACGACAUAGAGAUAGGCCCUUGAGACAUUUGAUACAUUCUAUGUUUUAGACAUGAUGACUUGAGACUUGAGACGGAUCUUACGCUUGCUUGCCAUUGUGCUCAUUCGCACACGCUUGUGAGGGUCGCUCCCUACAAGCCGGCACUCCGGAGAUGGCCAUCGCGAUACAUAUUCGUCGUGCGGGAUUGGGCGCCGAAGUGGAUUACCGUGGGCAAGGCUCAUUCCUAGAGUGGGGAUGUUAACUACCACAGGGCCAUUAGGCUCGGCACCGGUCAGAUAGCCUACAGGUGGGUCUACAGGCCAGACAGCCUUCGGGCGGGUCUUCCAAGAUUUAUUAAAGUUAACAUGCCAAGUGAACAUUGACUAGAAUAGUAAACAAUGACAUUCUACUAUUACAUUGUGAAUAUUAUGAUGGUUGUAUACUCGUGCAUUUUCAUGAUAGAACGGCUUUCUUACUUAUGCAAUCCCAUGCUAAAUAGAGACGCAUGUGGUAGCAAGUACUCAUAUUUACUCACUUGUCGUAUAUAUCGCUUUUGCUUAUAUUUGUACUUACCCUUUGUGUAGCUUUGGGCCUAGUGGCGCAUUUCACUGAAGUCAGUAAUUGCUCACUGGGAACUAUUAUUUAAUAGUUUUCACGCCCCCUGUUUUAUGGUUUUAUUUCAGAGCCUUCGGCACUGGCAGAGGCACGGGAUCGCGGCAAGGGUGUCGCUUAGCUAGAUUGAGAGGAGCUACUUCGAGAUUAGGUGGUUACUUCUUUUGUUGUAGUAGCGAGAGAGAGAUUUUUGUACCAUGUACAGAGACCACCUAUGUACUCUUUUAGCUCUUGUUUUGGGAUGGCUAUUGUAUUACUUAUGACUUUUAUUUAGUGGUUUUGGCUUCUUUCACCCUUCCUUGUUAUAGAAAUCUAGAUAUCCUAUGCUCUGAUACUCCUAGAUGUUCUUUUAUUAUUGCUUUAUUUAUCGCUUUGUUGUAGACGCCUUGUAUGUUUUAGACAUAUGGCGGGUCUGGGCACGCGCCGGACGGGCUUCCCCUGGGCCCCAGGGCGUGACAGGCUGGCACAUCAACCAAAAAAAGCUAACAUCUGCACCAUCUAGGCUGUGUUGAGGUGUUAUUUUUGGGCGGUUUGAAGCAGUGUUUUUCUUUUCUCAAUUGAUGUAGUUUUCUCUUUGUUUUCGCAUCCAACAUGUUUGCGGUUCAAGUCAACGUGUAAGAUUUGUACGUGGGAAUUAUCAACGCAUAAGAUGUGUAUGUAGGAAGUUUUAGCCAUAUAUAUUUAAAAUAUAUUGGGGUGUGUUUGGUUCCACAUAAAACUGUGGAAAAAAAAAUUUCGGUGGAAAAAAUGUUUUACGUCAUUUAUGUUUGGUUUGUAGAAAAAGAAAAGUAGUUUUCCACGAUGGUUGUUUGGUCGAAAGGAAAAAAAAAAGUUAUAAAUAAAAAUUAUUAUAUAUAUUUUUUCAUUUUACAUUUUUUAUAUUAUUAAUAUAUAAUUAUUAUCAUAUUAUAUAUAUUAGUAUUAUAGUUUAUAUUUAUAAAUAAAAUAUGUUUAAAAUAUAUUAUGCAAUAAUUAAAUAUAUAAUAUAAUAUAUAAUAGUAUAUAUUUAAUACUAUAAAAUAAAUUACUGGAUAUAAAAUAUUAUAUAAUACAUAUAUUUAUAAAUAAAAUAUUAUUUUUAAAAUAUUUAUACAUAUAUAAAUAUAUAUUUAUAUAUAUAUUAUAUAUAUUAUAUACAUAAAAAAGGAAGGUGGGGGAAAGAGGUCCACCGCACCCCAGUGGACCUCUCUCAAAAAAUUUUCCGAGAACUAGCUAUUACAGGGAUAGGUAUAAGUAUGGGGAUAAGAAAAAUAGCGUUUGGAUGAAACUUAGGUUGUUCCCGGGGAUAAGAAAAAUAUUAGGUAGUUUUAUAUAGAAAAUGGAGGUGUUGGUGGGGAUAACCGAGAACUACUAUUCUUGGGUAAAAAAUUUGCGUUUGGGUAUAAAGGGGGGAUAAGGGCCUAUCCCUAUCCCUAUCCCCUAACCAAACACUGCCAGAGAGUUCGAAGUGGCGAAUGAAGCUCGCAGGGUUGGGGUUUUACGGUUUUUGUGGGAGAAACGAGCAGGGGAGAUCGGGUAUAGAUUUGUGAACUUUUUUGGGCCGGGUUGGGCUGGGCUGGGAUGGUACAUCAACCAAAAAGAGCUAAUAUCUGUACCAUCUAGGCUGUGUUGAGAUGUUAUUUUUGGUCGGCUUAAACUUUGAAGCGGUGUUUUUAUUUUUCUCAAUUGAUGUAGUUUUCUCUUUGUUUUCGCAUCCAAUGUGUUUGCCGUUCAAGUCAAAUCUUAAUUUAAAGAUGAAAUUCCUACAAAAUCAAUGACUAGUGCUACUAGGGACAUUCUAGUUUAAUUCCCUACUAUAUAUAAAUGUCAACUGGCCAUAUUCAGGGCGAAUUUUUAAAAAUUCGAACCCACCUGACUCCAAACUUGAAAUCCGAAUUCGAACCAAACCCGAACCCAAUAGAUUUUCAAUAUCCAUAUCCAAACCCAAAUCCGACAAACAUUUCAAAACCCGAACCCAAACUCAAAUCCGAAACAAUUAUUUCUAUUUUCAAUAUUUCAAAAUAUAUUACAUUAAAUUUAAAAUUUUAAAAUACAAAUUCGAAUAUAACAUCAAAUGUUAUUAUACAUAUUACAUAUAAUAAAAAAAUAAAUUUGGGUUUGGUUCGGGUUCAGGUUCGGGUUGGAUUCGGUCAAAAUUGAUAUCUGAAAUGUCGAUGGUUAUGGAUACUCGAAAUUUUACCGGAACCGGAAUUUAAACGGAGCGAGUUUAUUAAAUGCUAAACGGAUAUGGAUAUGGAUAUUAAAAAUAAAAAUUCGAUGGAUAUAGAUUCGGAUAUCAAUUUUGACCGAAUCCAACCCGAAUCUGAACCCGAACCGAACCCAAAUUUAUUUUUUAUUAGCUCCUUUGGCAGAAGUUGUAAUCAGAGCUCUCACCUAGGGGUGGAAACGAGCCGAGCUCGAGCGAGCUUACCUCAGCUCAAGCUUGGCUUGAAAUUAAUUUCGAGCCUAAAUUUAGGCUCAAGCUUGGCUUGAAAUUAAUUCGAGCCGAGCUCGAGCGAGCCUAACUUCGAGUUGAGCGAGCUCGAGCCCUAAACGAGCUACUUGAAAUUCUUAACAUCGUGCAAUCUAUAGUUUAAUUUUUAUAAAAAAUUAUCUAAAAUUUGAUAUAAAAGAUAUCNAGAGAGAGAGAGAGAGAGAGAGAGUUUGGCUACUAUAUAUAAUUUUAUGAGUAUAAACCCCUUUAUACUCAUAAAUUUUCGACCGUUACAUCUAUCCUUUUGACCAUUUUCAUUCGUUAAAUCAUACUAUUCAACGAACCACCCACUCAAUCUUAGGGGACCACUGUCAUUCUAAUCGCACAUCCAACGACCGAAAAUUUAUAAGUAUAAAAAGGUUCUCUAUACUUAUAAGAGUAUAGUGGCCCAAGCCUAUAGAUAUAGAAUUAGGCUAUUAUACUAUUCAUAGUACAAACCGCUUGCUAUUAGGUUUUUGGCUCUUAGAUGAAGGGAUGUGCGGUCAGGAUGAUAGUAGCCCCUUAGGGUUGAGUGAGUGGCAAGUUGAAUAGUAUGAUCUACCGAAUGAAAAUGGCUAAAGGGAUAGAUCUAAUAGAAGAAAACUCGAUAACCCCAAAUGCUUGGUACUAUCGAUAGUAUAAUAGCCGGACUCUAUAUAUAUAAGGCAGAUCUAACGGCAGAAAACUCAUCAAUAGUACAAAACGCUUAGUACUAUGAAUAGUAUAGUAGCCAGACUAUAUACAUAGAGAGGGAGAGUCCGGCUACUAUAUUAUCAAUAGUACUAAAUGCUUGGUGCUAUCGAAUUUUGUGCCGUUAGAUCAUAUUAUUCAACUAACCACCUACUCAACCCUAGGGAAUUACUAUCAUUCUAACUGCACAUCCCUUCAUCCAAAGGCCGAAAACCUAAUAGUAAGUGAUUGGUACUAUUAAUAGUAUAGUAGACUAUAUAUAUAUAUAUAUAUAUAUAUAUAUAUAUAUAUUUCGAGCUUUUCGAACUUAAUUCGAGCAAGCCGAGUAAUACUCAAGCUCAGAUUGAAAUUAAUUUUGAGCCUAAAUUUAGGCUCAAGCUUGCUUGAAAUUAAUUCGAGCUGAACUCGAGCGAGCCGAAUAUCGAACCGAACAAGAGUAGAACACUAGCUGGCUCGCUCAUUUGCCGGCCCUACUCUCACCGAACCAAACUAACCCCUACAAUGUCCUCCUUUCGCUGCCUCGUUUCCUCCGCUGCCACCAUUCCCCUCCCUCCGCCGUCCGCCGGCGCCGGCGCCACCGCCCACAACGGCGGAGCCGCCCUCCCGCUUUUUCGCGCCACCGUCGCCGGAGAUCCCAUCUCUUCCAUCCGAAAACCCUAUCCCCUCUGCCGCGGCGCCGCCGCCGCCGCCGCCGUCACCGCCGUUGCCGUUGCCGUCGCCCCCGCAUCGUCGGGGAGAGCACACCAUCCUCCCCAUUCCGACGUCCGCUUAAGGUUGUAUCUCUCGCCCCUUCUUGCUUACCUACUCUCCUUGGAUAGCAUUACGCUGAAAUCUCAAGAGAAACUCGAUUGAUUCCGGUUCAGAAGAAUUCAACAUUUCUCCUUGAAUUAUUGUCCGUUUGAUGAUGAUGAUGAUGGUGAUAAUAAUAAUAAUAAUGGAUGGACAAUCAUUCCAAUGUCUUACUUUUUUUCACGGUAAUGCGUGCAUGAACUGAUUAAAAUCGUUCGUGUUAUAACUUACCUCAAACUAUGGACUAUUUUGAGUUAGCAAUCCAAUCUUUCAAUUGGCGUGAUUUGAGCUGAUCGAUGACACUUAGACUUCAACAUUUGAAUGCAUCGUUUAUCGUUGCAGGUUUAGCUCGCGCAAUUCUGUUUGUUUAAAAUUUUGGCGUCAAAGUACUGUUGACUUACCUAAAUCUAAUAAAUUGAAAGGUUGGGUAGUAAAAUCAAAAUUUUGGAAGGUUGAGUAGGCGAUUUGAAAUGGCCAUAGUAAAAGUAAGUUUUGUGCAUUUUAACCCAUCGUAUAUUGUGAAACAUUCAUUUGUCUCUAAAGCUUAAGCUACUGGAUUAUGGUGUUCUUAUGUUCUAUGCUAUACCCUUCCUCUUGACAGUUUAAUGGGCCUGAGUAUAUCAACACAUCAGCUACCUGGCAUUCCAGGGAACCCGUAGAAAUAAUCCUUUCUAUAGAAAGAAAGCUAAUAUGACUCUUUUUACGAUUCCCUAUUCAUAUUGAUUGGAGAAAAACAAAACAUUACAAAGAGAAGCGUCAUAAAAGAUGCUACAAGGAUCUCAACUGUCAAAAACAAACAUACUCCUCAUGUCCACCCAAAAAAAAAAAAAAAAAAAAAAAAGAAAAAGUUGACUGGUCCGUGCAUUCUCAACAAAUCCUAAGGCAAUCUAACAAAAGUUCCUGCAACAAAAAAAAAAAAGUGAGUAGACUAUAAGAUCACUACCCAUCGAGGAUCAAUAGAAGUUCCUGCAGCAAAAGGGCAGCUAGUCAGCCUAUCGUUCGAGGUCGAGACCUCCUGCCAUCACCAUCACCUCCGUAAGGAUGUCAGGUAGGAUGGUGAAACUGCACUCUUGACUAAUAUGGUGAAGUGUCUCGAGAGAGAGAGAGGGCCUAAGGUAAUGGGAGUGGCGGGGGCAUCUAAGGUCACCGAUGUAGUUUCUUGUCGAAAUUGGAGAAUGGGGGCCUCAGAGGAGAGGGUAGGAUUAUCGGGUGCAGCCGGGUGAUGGAACAGCCCGGGAGAGAAAGGAGCAUGGUCAAAGGAGUUAUUUCAUUAUACAAUCAUUUGGGCUCUCUCUCCAAGGAAUUGUUGCAGUUGUCAAUAUCAUUUUCACCACUACAAAUUCAUGAAUUAUAUUGAAAAUGCUUUGUCAGUUUAAAACCAUCAUUUUAACAUAAAAGGUAUUGGACAAAUUUGUCCCUAGCUACACCUAAUUAUAUAUAGUAGUGUGCUAUUAUGUGCAGCUAAUGAAGUCAUGUCUCAUUGAAAAAUGACGUGUUUAUAAUUUAGUUUAUGGAUGUUCUUGUUUUUCUUGUCUACUUUAGUUUUUUUUUUUUAAUUCAAUAUCAUAUGGGUCUUUUGUUCAUUUUCGUCGAUUAAAACCAAAAUAGAAUAUUAUUAUUUUUUAUUUUCAUGAUCUAUCUUUACUUUGCUUUGUUUAAUCAGUAUGAUUUUACUAUUUUUGUUGCUUUGUUUGUUGCACUUAAUUAGUUUCAAUUAUUAUGCGUCCAACUGUAUUUGCAAUAUUUUAAAGGCAAAAAAACCUUGAAUUAAUUAAAAAGGUAUUAAGGAUUACUGAUGGGCAAAAUGAAAAUUCCAUGAAUUUUUAGGCCGUUUGUUAGCAAUGUAGCCGUUUUUAAUACUUUCCCUAUAUUAGAGGGGUAAUUUUGAUAUUGACAAUUUUUCAGGGGGUGGUUUCUAUGUAUUUAUGUAAUGAAGAAUUGGUCAAGGUGUAUAAUAUGAAUUAUCCCUUAAAAAGAUUAUUUUUGGCCAAUAGAUAUGAUAAUAGCAAAUAAAACUUACUAAUUUUGAGAAAACUAGAAUUUCAAUCCCCUAGAUUUCUAACAUUUGAGGCAGCCAAAAGGAUGUGGUAGCAAAGAAUACAGAUGAAGUUAUUUCAUAAAUUGAUGCCAUUUUUUGGAUUUAUAGUAGCUCAUGUGAAUAAUCAAGGGAGGGUUCCCCCUCCCCCCUUAUUGUAAGGAAUAAGUUGUGCAUUUGGUAUUUUAUCUUGAAUAUGAAGAGUUCUAGUUUAUUAUUCUAAUUAUAACUUUAGAGAUUAUCAUAAUUUUUCAACACGGGGAGGAUGGUCAGUCAUUUGAUCUUCUCAUGUUUGUUGUAAUUUCUAGCCUAGACCAACUUUUGUAAUAAUGAUCGGAAUGUAAUCAAAUAUUUUUUCUUGUUUGGCCUAGCACCUAAAGCAUCUUCGUACAUCAAAAAGUAGAAGCUUUUAAAACCCAGGUAUUUGACCAAAAAAAAGGAAAAUUCGUGUGUCCAGAAGCUGAAAGGAGCUUUAGAUACCAAAAGUUGAAGCUCCUCUGAAAAAAUGUUGCUGAUCCCUCAAACAGCAGCAGCCAAACAACACUUUUCUAGAGGCUCUAGUUGCCAGCCCAACAGGCUUUUUCCCUUUUUCAUGGCAUGUCUCUUCCUCUCUUACGUAUCAUGCUUAUCAUUCAGGGAGGAUAAGUUCUUUGAAGUGGAGCUUAAAGUCUGAGACUAUGAACUUGACCAGCAUGGAAUUGUUAACAAUGCAGUCUACGCUAGCUAUUGUCAGCAUGGUGAGGCUCCUCUUCAAUAACUUGUCACUAGAAUGUCCCAACUUUAAAGGGUAUACUAGUACUCAAUGUAUAUUGCUUCAAAUGUAUGGAGACUCCAUUUAUCUUAAUUUUGACUUGUUUCAAUCAAUUGAAUUGGUAGUCUCCUUAAACUUAACAUCUCCAAUCGCUACUGGAGAACUGGUUGUUUACUAUUAACUAAAUCCAUGUUCUUUAUAAACUGAAAAGUAGUUAGGGCUGUAAAUUUCAGUGGAGUUCUUAUUGAUUUUAUGAAAUCACCAAUCCAAUUGACUGAAGUAAGUGAAAUAAAAUACAAAUCAAUGUUGAGGGGGUGUCGUUCAGAAAAAUUAGAAGUUCAGGGUUCUAUUUCAAAGAGGCCUACAGUUUAGGGGGCCAUCACACAUGUUAUCAUGUUUCUUUCUUCCUGAUGAAUUGAUUUCUCUUGGUACCUCCUAACGCUGAAUCAUCAAGUAAUUAGAUAUGCUAGGGUCUUUCACUGAUUAAAGGUUUAUAUAUUCAGCUAUGGCUGAAAUGGGAAUGAAACAUGUUAUUCAAGUUUAAUUUCGUAAAAUUUACUUUGUUGUCCUGAACUUUCACAUGACUUCUCAUUUUUUUUCUUUUACUGUUUUCUAAGAACAAGUAGAUUUGGAUGGCAAUAUGGAAUGCUCUAUAUCUAUUACACGUUGAACCUGAUCAGUGUUUCACGUGGCAGACUUAAUCAGAUUCAACAAACCUCAUCUGCCAAUGAUUUUUUCUGUUCUAUUGAUUUUCUACCCUCCCUGAAAUGAGUUGGACUAAUUUCUCUCUUUUUUCAGUUAUGUUUUUAGUGUUUCUUUUGUUAGUGAAAUUGCAAAUUUCCAAGAUUGAUCAAUUAGAACACAUGACUUCAUUCUUCUUUGUUGUUGUACUUAUAUCUGAUUCUGCUCUCUUUUUACUUCUCUUUGAUCCAUUAUAGUUAAAUUAAUGCUUAAUUAAACCAUCAAAAAUAUAUAGAAUAAUAUAUUACCAUCAUACAAGCCAUUUUCUGAUAAGAUAGAAGAAAUUUAUACUUUGGGUUAUUCACAUAAAAUCAAGCUUUUAGAAAAUUCUUUCCCCAACUGACCGUCCCUAACGCAAGUGGCAAAAGGGCUUGGUGGUUGGUACCCGAGACCCAAGUUCGAAUCCUAGUUGAUUCACAUUUCCAGCUAAGUUUAUUUCUAAAUGAAAUAAACGAAGCCGGUAGCAUGCUACCUUUCUCUCUAAAAAAAAAAUAUGAACGCCGCAACGAAAACACGUCGCUCCAACGGGCGCACGAAAGCUCAAUCCGUCGCCUCCAACGCGUUCGCAAGCUCGAUCUCCACCAACGCCGCGAUUUGGGCGAGAAAUAUAGAGAGAUGAGAGAGAUAUUUAGAGAGAGAAAAGGGAGAGUUUCUCUCACUACACCAUGAACGUAUGGUAGUGGUAAUGGUGGUCGGCUGAUGGAGAGGGAAAGCCUAGUAGCUUCUACUUAUAGUCAACCCUCAAUAGUAGAUACACUAUUCACAUCAGGCAGCUCCAAAUCUGAUAUCUUUCGCCGGAACUCCCUGAAUACCGUUUGAGCUCAAAUCUGACAGUCAUAUUCGGUUUUACUUAAAGAGUCCAAAGAAAUUUUAAUCUUUCAGUUUCGACCCCGUUUGGUCACCGAAAACUGUGCCGAACUGCAAUCUUUAUCAAGAUGGCUUUCGGAUUUUAUUUCUCACUCUACGGGUGUCAGAAUGGCAUGAAACUUUAUAUCUAGCCUCAUAAAAAUAUUUCUGACAUCUCUGCCAAUUUUCAUAAUUUUCUGAGACUGUGCAUUUUCUGCUAAUUUAUCUGCCCCGUUUCCAACAGAAAAUUCUAAAUCUUCUGUUUUAAUUCCGAUUUCAGACAGGUCAUUCCCAAUUUAUAUUUCACUCUCUAAAUUCAUAAAAAUAGUAUCUCAUACUAUUUUUUUAUUUAUUCUAUUUUUUUUUUUUAUAUUAUAAAUUCGGUAUAUUACAUUACACCGCAACCUUACCGGAACCAUUCAAAUGGCUCUCCAACCAAAUGGACACCGUAGCUUCAUAAUUUUAGAAGUCCGUACCUUACACUUGACACUCGUCAAAUGAUCCUCCUCGGGAGCGCGUCGGGGUGAGAACGGCUGCGGAUGGACCCUCGAAGUUGCGCGCCUUCGACAGAGUAAAGCGAUUCGGUCUGACGAGCGGAUACGAGCCACAGCUGCGGUUCGAAAACUUUACUGUAGAAAUGGCGGUUCGAGCUGGUAUGAGCCACGAAUGUUAUUGACCGAGGCAAGGAUUGAAGAUCGGCCGCAUGAACUCCCGAACGACUAAAAGAAACUGAAAAUGAUUAGACCGAGAAGCCGAAUGCCUAAAUUAAACACAGAAAACUAGCCGGCUUGGAGCCGAUGCCUCGAUAAUAUUAAUUACUGGGAGCAGAGAAAUUAACGAACGAGCAGAUAUUAAAGUUACAACGGAGUGAUGCCCGGGGGCAGACAAACUCCAAAAAUCUACUUUAAAAAACUAACUCCUAGGAAAAAGCAGAUAAACAUUACAAGUUAAACUACUACUAAAACGUAGGAAAUUGCGUGGAGUGUAAGAAGAUAAAACGGUCUUUUGUGAUACAGGGCAAAGACCCUCUUCCUUUAGGUGUUUUUUGACCUAUUUAUAUAUCGCCCUUUGGAUCAGUUACUCCUUUUUUCCACGGUCGGCCAAGACUAAUUCUAAAUUCUCGGACAACUUCCAGCCGAUCGGAACCGUUAUACCAACCAUUUUGCGGUUACGUUAACUCCUCUGAUCUAACGCCGCGUGUCAUGCUCCGCCUUAAUGCCCCGGCGCAUAAUCGCAAACUGUGGCUUUGCAUAGACACGUCUCCAGUCCACGGCCGAUCGGCGACAACAUAAUAUAUAAUACUACUAUAUAUAUAUAUUAUAUUAUAUUUAUAUAAUAUAAGUAUAUAUAUAAUAUAUUAAAAAUAUGAUUUAUAUUGCCAUUUGUUUAACUACUUAUCAGCUAUAUCCAAAUUCAUUUCAUCGUGUAUUGGAUUUGAUAUUUAGCAUCCACAACAACAAAUCAGGUUGGAUUUAGAUCUGUUAAGUUUAAAAUAUGAAUAAUGGUACGGAUUUGUCACUACCAAACGAUAUCAGACCCAUUUUUAUCCCAAGAACAAUGUGCUUCGUUCUAUCGGUGCGUCAAUCCAAAAUAUUACAAGGCAUCCGAUGCGGAGUGGUUUGUCAUUUCUAACGCAUAUUAUUUGCUUCUCUACAUUCUGAGUUACACAAUUAUUGCUGUACAAAAGCCAUAAGCAAAAAAUUUAUUUUGGUUUAUAUAUUGAUAUUACAUCUGCAAUUAAGAUGCAGAUACAGUUCUAGAUUAUUUAUACCACUUCCUUAGGACUCAAUUAAAAAUACAGUUGAAAGGGAUGAGACCAUACUCUCCUCAGGUAUGGGAAAAAAAAAAAAAAAUUCUCUUUCUUAGAAAUAAUCACCUCCAUCGUAAAUAAUAAUAUAUAGAGUAUAUUUUGUUUUCAAUGGUUUGUAGUAUUCUAGUAAUGCUUGUGAUAGUGCUAUUUGAAAAUAUUCAAAUUAUUAACUAUUCAACUCUGAUUUGUCAGUUUAAAAGGUGUUGGGUGAAGUUAAUAUGAAUCAUCGUAGAUUUUCACAACUAGUAAGAAUUACUAGAUUAACAUAGGUUAGAAGGUACUCUUAUUCUCAUACAUUUGUUGGAUAUCAUAUAGAGCCAUUUAGCAAGGAUAUAUAAUUUCUCAAGAACCUGCCAACCUAAGUGGUACUGUAAUGUUAAUAACAACUUACCAUUUCACAAUAUAAAAUAUAUAAUAAUUUUGAAAUAUUACAAUUUUUGAACCAAAGCGGCCCUAUAAGAUACACAUUUUUACAAAUACCAUAUUUACAAUACAUCGCGACCAACAAUCAUCUAGCUGUUCUUAUUUAUCUAUGGACGUUUUGCUUAAUCGUGUAAACGCGGAGAAGGUAACACAUUUAGCAUAGACUGAAACUGUUGGUCUUUCAAAGAUGCCAACGCAUCUAAUUAAUGCAAUCUACUCUUGAUAUUUUAUAAGCGAGAAAUAUAUUGUUUUUGAAAAGACUAAAUAGAAUACAUUCUUCCGUUCCUCCCUCUUUAUUUAUUUCUCAUUUUUCUUUGAAUCAGCACUCUUCCAAUUUUCCAGGUUAUUUUUGUUAUCAACGUUUAGAAUGGGAGUUGCGCACUGAUCUAGUUAAAUUGCGCACUAAAAAGUUAUGGCCCGCACUAUGUCUUAGUGUUUGAAGAAUAGUCACAUGUAUAGUAAACUAUAUUCAUUUUGGUGUGGAUUAUUAAGAAUUGUAGAUCUUGUGUCUACUGUUGUAUUGGCAGGGUGUUCUUGUGCACAUGACGGGUCCCGGUCGCUGGAAUAGGCUUCCGUUAGGACUCGACAUCCUAGAGCUUACAUUUAAGCUUCCAAAAUGAAUACAUAAUCAUAUCACAUAUAUAUAAUGCUAGCUAUCCAAAAUACAUCAUGUCAUCUAUAACCAUGCACACGAGGGUGCUCUAGUACAAUAGGAAAGCUCUACUAGCUAGCUAGGGCGCUAUGCCCUUACCGCGAUCUCCUGCCGGUCCGCUCACGUGUGUACCUGUACCCCAAAACCACACGGGGUGAGAACUAUAAAAAAUAUAGUUCCCAGUGGGUUCGGCCGCCGACUCCGCCGAUCUUCCCACUAGGUCUAAGCUGGCACAGAUAGAUAGAUAGAGAGAUAGAUAGAUAUUGAACUGCAACUAUGAUCUAUUGUGCCAUCAAAUGCAAGCAAUGCAUGAAAUAUCAACUAGCAAUAAGCCUACUAUCAUGAUAAUAUGCUUCAACGAUGUAAUGAAUACAAAUACGACAUAGUUAUGCAAUCCACUAACAUAUACUAUGUCUAAUCAGGGUAUGAAUGCAAAUCCACUUAUGCUAUUCAUGUCAUUACCCAAUCCACUAGGCUACCCCGCCCUUGUCUCAAAUCAUGUAGGUGAAGGACUACCCCGCCCUUGUUUCACCCGUCCCACAACUCUAACACUAUAGGUAAAGAGCUACCCCGCUCCUCGCCCAACUCAUAACUCAAAUGCCUAAGGGCAUGAGCUACCCCGCUCUUCGCUCCGACCCAAACUCAAACUCAUAGGUCAAGAGCUACCCCGCUCAUAGGUCAAGAGCUACCCCGCUCGUAGGUAAAGAGCUACCCCGCUCAAAGGUCAAGAGCUACCCCGCUCGUAGGUAAAGAGCUACCCCGCUCAUAGGUAAAGAGCUACCCCGCUCAAAGGUCAAGAGCUACCCCGCUCGUAGGUAAAGAGCUACCCCGCUCAAAUCUCACAGGAGAAGAGCUACCCCGCCCUUCGCCCGACUCACUUCCCAGUCCAAUGGGUGGGGAGCUACCCCGCUCGUAUCCCACCCAAUGAGCUACCCCGCUCAUGUGACAACUGAGGAUACCCUGUCAACUAGGUUAACCAUCACUUGAUAUUCCACCUAUCCCUAGGUCCAUGUCAAGUGUUUCAACCAUAUCAAAUCUCAAUGCCACUCACCUAGGUCUAAGCAACUCUAGGUUCCACAACACUAGGUUUAGAUGCCACAUAAUCUCCAUAAUUAACAAUAGGUUAACCUUCAUUUCAUCUAGCAUAUAUGUUCUAUAAGGCCAACAUGCAUCAUAAUGCUAAUAUGCCAUAAUCAACUAGCAUGCAAUCCAUUCAUAAUGCUACGUGCAUACAAUCUCCAUUACACUAGUUCACAUGUCACUAGUUUCAUUGUCAAGUCCAAGUUCUUUAUUCUCUUAUCAUCAUAGGAUCUCAUGUCUCAACCUUAAUCAUCAUGCAUUCUAGAUUUAAGUGUCAAGUCUAUAAUACUACACAACUAGACAUGCAUUCAAGGAAAGUAGAAAUGUAACUAUACAUAUAUCCUAUAAUGCAUAAGAACCAUAUAUAUGAAAUAUGAUCAACUAUUUUACUCGGACAUAGAAGGAAGCCCGAUUGCUUCGGAUAGACACCCCCCACCUUUUAUCGCGUUCCGAUUGCUCGUCGUCACUCGCAAUCGGCCUCCCGCGGCACACGCCGCUCGGCUUGACCCAAUCCGCGCGCGACCGCCAAACGACCUCCGAUCCGCGAUCCGAAAAUUAAAGGUCUUCGGUUUUCUAUUACGAUGCUUCAAAUCCGUUUCCAGGACUUUACGACGUCGCCUCGGCCCUCUAGGCGGAAACGAAGCCUAAACGCCCGUUUCUUUAAUAACUUUGUACCGGCUCAACGAAUCGCCGAACCGUCGCUUCCAACGCAUUCAGUGACCUAGCAAUUAGGUUUACGGAGGGUCAAAUUAGAUCAUACCCUCAUAUUUUCAAAAUUAGCAUUUUUGAGCCCUAACAUGCAAUUACCCCCAAAUAAUCCAAAUUAAAUGGAGCAAUAUGCUAAUAAUGAUCAUUAGAGGCUACUAGAACCCUUAAAGCUAAGGAUUAAGCCAAAUCCCAAAAGCUUACCCCANN